UUUUUUGUUUUUAGUUGUAACGACGCCGCUCGGUUGGGCCGUCAAGUAACACUUUUCUUCCUCGAGUGUUGCACUCGGGGAAGAGGGCCUUUGCCGAGUGCCGCUCUUUCCCGAGUGCCAUUCCCCGAGUGCAAUUCUUCCCCGAGUGCAAUACUCGGGAAAGAUUGGCUUCCCCGAGUGUCCGGUUUUUUGCACUCGGGGAAGCCUGCGACACUCAAGGAAAUUUUGUCUCUCCCGUAAUGGUGGAGGCCUAGCAUCUAUUGUCAAAGUAAAAAAAGAUAAUGAUAAAUAUUAAUAUAUUACAAAGACAAUGUAUAAACGAUUACCUAAACAAAAUAAUAGGUACUAGGUAUGGAUUUUAUAUCAGGCAAUGAUCCCGAUCUAGGUCUAGCCGAAUGGGAUUGUGACUAGAUCUCGACUCUCAAGCGACAAACAAUGGCAAGAGUAAGGAAUAAGUUCAAGCGACGAAGCCACAAACUUACAAAGGGUUACAAACUUAUAUGAAAAAAAUUUGCUGGCCACAAACUUUUCUAUGUCAAAACCGUGGACUCAACGUGCGGUGCUCUUCUCCCGAAUGAAGUAGCAGGACAUAUUUAUUAAGCAUUUACUAAUUAAAACAAGUCUAAUAUUAUUAUAUAUACUUAAGAUACUUAGUAAAUUUUAGGAGCCUAAUUUCGUCGCAAAGCUCGUACGAGCCCGAGGACGCCCUGCUCACCCUUGCAAAAGAUGAUGCCAAUGCCAAUUAUCAUCAGGUGUAGGUGUAUUUAUGAUGGCAUAUGAAUCCAUGUGGCUCUUCGUUUGGUGUCCAACUCGCAUUUGUGAUCCAACACAAAGGCAAUAAUCUCUUGCAAUUACGUUUGGGGAACAGAAGGGAAUGGCUUGCAUUGGAUCAACAUAACAGGUGGUGACGUGGUUGGCUCUUAGCAGUCUGAGAACAAGAAUAUGGCCCAAUAGCUCAUGUUCCUGUUAUUAUGUUCCACGUUCCAAAAUAUCUAUAUGAAUCAAGAAAGCCUGGAAAAAAUGCUAGAGGAGGUGGAGAUAUCAUAUUUAGAUACAGUAGAUAUAUGAAUUGAUUUUCUGAGGAAGGUCAAACUCUGAAAAUUGGUUGAUUUUUAGAGGGAGGCCCAUCUCUAAUCUUUAUAUGUUUUUUUAGGCCCGUCUCUAAUCUUCAUAUGUUUUAGAGACAAGCGUUUUAGAAGACCACACCGUUAGGCAAUUGGUUUUUACCGCCUCUGUUAAUAAAACCAGUUGCCUUCUCAAAUCAGUUGUCUAAUUAAGCUUGUUCAACUGGGUGAUGCUGGAACGAAGUUUUUUCAUGCUAAUGCCACUAUAAGAAAUAGGAGGAAACUUAUCAGUCACCUAACCUCAGCUCAAGGAGUUACUGCUGCUGACCACUCUGAGAAAGAGCAGCUGCUCUGGCAUGAAUACAAGGAAAGGUUGGGAAUUUCAGAGUUCACUGGCUUUACUAUAAACCCAAGAGAUCUGUUGGAAGCAAGCUCUGAUCUGGAGAGUUUAGAAUCUCCUUUCACCAGGGAUGAAAUUGAGGCCCUGAUCAAAGCUCUACCCAAUAAUAAAUCCCCUGGUCCUGAUGGGUUCAACAAUGAGUUCUUCAAAGCCUCCUGGAACACAAUCAAGGAAGAUGUUUUUCACUUAUGUGACCAGUUCUAUUCUAAUAAUUGUUGUCUGCAAAGCAUUAAUGCCUCCUAUAUCACUCUGGUACCAAAGGUGGAGGAUGCCAAAUUUGUCAAUGAUUUCAGGCCUAUCUCGUUGCUCAACACCUCCAUCAAAGUUCUGACAAAACUGAUGGCUAACAGGCUUCAAUUAAAAAUUAUCUCUCUGAUUCACAGGAACCAGUAUGGGUUCAUAAGAUCAAGAACUAUACAGGACUGCCUAGCCUGGGCCUUUGAAUACAUUCACAUAUGUCAUAAGUCAAAAAAAGAGAUAGUCAUCCUAAAGCUGGAUUUUGAACAAGCUUUUGACAAAAUUGAGCACCAAGCUAUAACAACUAUCAUGGCUGCUCUGGGUUUUGGAGAAAGAUGGCUUUCAUGGGUUACAGACAUCCUUAAUACAGGCACCUCAUUUGUGCUCUUGAAUGGGGUACCUGGAAAGAGAUUCAAAUGCAAAAGGGGUGUGAGGCAAGGAGACCCCCUAUCUCCGUUACUCUUUGUCUUGGCAGCUGAUUUUCAGCAAUCUUUGAUCAACAAGGGCAAAGACAUGGGAUUAAUCAAUUUGCCUAUCCCCUUGCAUUGCAAACUGACAAAGACUUUCCAAUAAUCCAGUAUGCCGAUGACACAUUAAUCAUCAUGGAAGGGGAUCCUAGACAGUUAUUCCUCAAGACUAUUCUGCAGAACUUCUCUGAAUCAACAGGAUUAAAAGUUAACUAUAGCAAAUCCAUGAUGCUGCCUAUUAAUGUAAGUGGGGAAAAACUUGACAUGCUUUCAAGAACCUUUGGUUGCUCUAAAGGGGCCCUGCCUUUCAUCUAUCUUGGUCUACCUGUGGGAACGACUAAGCCAAAAAUUGUGGACUUCUUACCCCUCAUAAACAAAUGUGAAAGGAGGCUGGGAGGGGUCUCUUCUACGCUAAACUUGGCUGGCAGGCUUCAAAUCACGAAUGCAGUGUUCUCAGCACUUCCAACAUUCUACCUGUGCACCCUGGAGCUACCCAAAGCUAUCGUCAAACAGAUCGACAAAUUUCGGAAAAAUUGUCUCUGGAGAAACAAUGACAUAAAUGGACAAAGUAAGCCUAAGGCGGCAUGGGAAUUGGUCUGCAGGACAAAAAUUGAGGGAGGACUAGGCAUUAUAAAUUUGGAGCUGCAGAAUCAAGCUUUGUUGAUGAAAAAUUUAGAUGAAUUCUACAAUAGGAAAGAAAUUCCUUGGGUAAACUUGGUAUGGGAAAGGCAUUACAAGAAUGACAAGUUGCCAGGUGCUGUGAAGAAGGGCUCCUUUUGGUGGAGAGAUGUGCUAAAAUUACUUCCACAAUUUAAACAAAUGGCGUCGAUCAAAAUGAAUAGUGGAAUCACGUGUCACUUUUGGAAGGACUCUUGGGAUUCACAGCUCUUAGAAAUUCAGUUCCCAUAGGCGUUCUCCUUUGCAAGAAACAAGAAUAUUACGGCACACAAAGCUCUCAGUUUCAAUAAUAUCUCAGUAAUGUUUAACCUCCCGGUAUCACAAGUAGCCUAUGAACAGAUGGCGAUCAUACAACAGAAAAUGGAAGUCUUGCAGCUGGAUGGAAGUAUUCAAGAUGUCUGGACAUAUCAAGGAGGAUCCACCAGUUUUAAAUCUGAAAAUACGUACAGAAGGCUCCUAGGGCAUCAACAAACUGAGCCGGCUUUAACCUGGAUAUGGAAAUCGGCUUGUCAGCCUAAACACAAGGUCUUUGCUUGGCUCUUGUUAAAAGACAGGCUCAGUACGCGUAACAUCCUCAGGAGAAAGCAAAUGAAUAUUGCCUCCUUUAACUGCGAGUUCUGCUUACAGGCAACAGAAGAAACUGUUGAUCACUUGUUUUGGCACUGCACCUUCGCUCAGCAAUGUUGGGGGUUCAUUGGUAUUCAUAGGUGAAGGAACGGUUAGAAAUAUACAAGCCAUCAAAGACCAGAUGCAUAGCCAAUUCUUCGUGAUUGCUACAAUUCUUCUCUGUUGGACGAUCUGGAAAGCCAGGAAUGAGAUGAUCUUCAACAAUAAUCAGUUGUCAAUUCAUGAUUGCAAGGAACUUUUCUUCAAGGAGCUACAGCUUGUAUCCUUCAGGUCAAGCAAAGACUCUCAGCGCCCUAUGGUAUAUGGAUUCAAAAUCUGUAAUUGAUGCCAGAUGUUUUCUUAUUUUCUUCUUUUCUUUCUGUCUCCUAAUCCUGUUGCCCUGCUUGUAACUCUGUAACUCUGUAAUUUUUUUCUUGUCAUUCUUAAUAAAAUUCUGCAGGGGCCCAGAGUUCAGUCAAAAAAAAAACUUGCGUGGAGUGGAGAAAGCGAGUUUGUCCGGAUCAGAGAAAUUUGUUCUGCACUCAUUUGAUUUUUUUUUUGUUUACAAAAGUACAGUACAAAUACUCCUCCGUUUGAAGCGAAAAAGCGACGGAAUUCAGGGUGGGUACGUAACAGCAACAGCCUGAGCCAGCAUGGUGAGCUCUGCUCAGGUGUUGGGCCCCCAGAAGGAGAUGAACAUCAACGCCCGGACAGGCUCCUCCGCCGCCGCCACCGUUCCCCUCACCUCCUCCGCCCGCCGCGACGAGUCCGCCGGCGGCGACGGCGAGGACGCGGUGGCCUUGGCCCCCCGCCACCGCCAGCCCACGCGACUCAUCACUUGCCUCAGGCUCAUGGUUGGCUUGGCUACACUACACGCACACAGCUAGCUACUGCUGCUGCUGCUGGUGGCUAGAGAUCGAUCGGCGAAGGAGAGGGAGAGCAAGGAGGAGGAUGGAGGCGUUCGAGACGACGAGAAGCGAGGCUUUUAUAUAUAUAUAUAUAUACAGUGCGAGCGAGAAGGGUAGGCAGCAAGAGAAGGACAGCGCGCGCGGCCGGCCCCCGCCGGCUGUUUUGAUAUGAUAUUCCGGUGUGCCAGCCAGGGCAGCUCACGGUUUCGGCCGCCGCCCUCCGUUUCUCGCGGGAAAACUGCACGGCAUCGGUCGUCCAAUCCAUGCUGAAACGGCGGGCGGGCGGCCUGCGGUUUUGCCGGUAGAGUGGGAGACUGGGAGUAGCAACUGAGUGGGCUGGACGGCCUCGCGCUGCGCAGCUAUAUAUAUUUUGUUUUGGUGCAUCACCAGAGCAAAUCCAUAGUUUCUAGCCUGGGUCUUGGGCCUUGUUUCGUUCCCAACAAAUUUUACAAAACUUUUUUUAAUUUCUCGUCACAUCAAAUCUUACGGCAUAUACAUGGAGCAUUAAAUAUAGAUUAAGAAAAUCACUAAUCACACAGUUUAUCUGUAAUUUGCAAGACGAAUCUUUUGAGCCUAGUUAGUCCAUGAUUGGACAAUAUUUAUAAAAUAAAAACGAAAGUACUACGUUACCAGUUUUGCAAAAUAGACACGUAGCAUUUUUGUUUGUAUUUGAUAAAUAUUGUCCAAUCAAAGCUUAAAAGAUUCGUCUCACGAAUCACAGGUAAACCGCGCAAUUAGUUAUUUUUUAUCUAUAUUUAAUGCUCUAUACAUGUGCUGCAAGAUUUGAUGUGACGAGACUUAUGCAAAAUUUUUGGAAAGUGAACAAGGCCCUGGUACACGUAUACACAUAUACCAAUAAUAAUGUUCAUAGACAAAAGGAAAAAAUAUACCAAUAAUAAUGUUCAUAGACAAAAUGAAAAAAGAAACAAUCACUGUAUUUGGUGUGUCCAUCAAAAUACAACUUCACAUCAUCAACUCUAACAAAGAGCGAGCAAACAAUAUUAUGGGCUUGUUCGUCAUAGCUCAACUUCACUAGUGAAGUUGUUUUUUAAGAAAAUAGCUUCAUGAACAACUUUAUUGGUGAAGCUAAGCUAUUUUGAAAAAAGUAUUUGAUAAAAUAGUUUCACUAAAUAUUUUAUGCAUAGAUAAAAGAGAGAAAUGAGGGAGAGAGCUACAAUAAGCUACUUUUUUCAGCUUCAUCCUAACUCAUGUCUUUGUGAGAGGAGAAAGAAAACAACUUCAUCCAUGAAGCUAUUUUAGAAAUAAGUGUUUAACAAAAAACAGCUCACGACAGCUCAUGAAGCUGUUGUGAGCUGUACCAAACAGGCCCUAUAUUCUUCAAUUCAACUGGUAAAAAAAAAAGAGAAGCAAAAAGUAGCAGUUCGCUUGUUUCUGCCAUUACACUGAAUCUAUACAUUGGUUACAUAUAGCAAUUCCGAACUUGGUUACCUGGUUUUGGUUACCUAGGAUUCACUUAUACAAGGCUGAAGCAAUCAUGUCACAAAUAUAUCAAAUGUAAAGAAACAAGAUGGGUUACAGACCAUAAUUUGUGUAUAUGAUGAUGAUCAGAAUGCACACGACGAUAUAAGCAAUAGUCAAGCUCAACUGAGGUGAGCAAUGUCAAUCUCGUCAGGGAGCUUGAACGUAUCCGCGGCCCCAAACUUCCUCCUGCCGUCCUCCCACUCGUCUUCGUCCUCCUCGGCCGCCAUAUCCUUGUCAUCGCCAUGGCUGCUGUCGUGGGCCAGCGACGGGGAUGAUGGAUCGUUGACGCUCUUGGACCUGCAGGGCUCGUUUGCCAGCAUGGUGACCUGCCGGAGGUGAGAGAUCUCCACGACGACCGUGUCAUCGUCCUUCGGAAGGGGCUGCUUCCAUGGCUCUCCGUCGACCCUCAUGAACGUGUGCUCUGCCGCGCCUUUGUGGAACUCAAACCGGAUCCUAUGGGCCUGUGAAACAGGAUGGCGAAAUCAGAUUGAUUUUGAUGGGGAGACUGGCCCGUUUCAGUGUGCCACGAAACCAGAAUGGCAUCUCAACCCUGAGUUCACGUUUCUCAGAUGUAGGGUUUCCAUUUUUUUUUAUCGAAAACAAUGUAGGAUUUCCAUCAGGACAUUCAGGAGGAAUACGUAGCAGAAGCAAUUCAUACCUGUGCAAUGCGAGUGCCGUGUCCAUUUGGGGCCAGCAGGACCAGCCCGUGCCAGGCGUCACGGAAGCCAACAACCUCAAUAAGUCCAUCAUCGACAAAAGGUGGAGUGAACUCCCUCUGCACAUAUAAUAGAUUUGUCAACUAAAUGACAUGGCUUGCAAAUAACAUGUUCUGUUCACAGAAACGAAGACAUGAAAACUCACAUCUGCUGCUCUCCUCGUGCCAGGUGUGCCCCAAGGAUUCAAACCUCCAGAAAAGCUAGGCAGAUUCAGACAGACGAUGGACCGAAUGCUGCAAGAGGCGCAAAUGCAGAGAUUACAAACCCAUCUGCUACCCAAAAGAAAUACGGAUACCCAGGCAGUAUGAUGAAAUAAUGAACAAAUGGAACAGAACAAGGAUUUCCCAAGUCAAAACAAGAAGCUUUGGUCUGUCGUACCAUAUUGUAGGAUUACAUAAUGCAUAGGAGAAAAACAAAUCGCCUAAGUUUACCUGUGAUGAACAUGAAGUUCCUCCCAGAGGCCACCAGCUCUUUUCAUGACCUUAACUUUUGCAAGUUGAGCAAGGUUCCUGGAAACAGAGCAAUCUAGCUUAUCGUUUAUCCAAAAAAGGAGAAGAGGGGAAACCUGGAAGAUACACGAGUGACAAAAAUUGUAUAUCUAGUAUUGUUAAUAAUACACCCAGAUUGUAAAAGCUAUAGGCUUAUAGCCUCCCAGAUUGUAAGAAUGCAAAGGAUGCUGGUGAUUUUUUUGAUGAAUUUUUUUUUGACGAAAGGAUGCGGCUGAUUUGGACCAAUGAAAAACACAAAAUGAAUUAGUCACUACAGUUACAGAACAACAAAAUGACAAUUGACAAAUACCCCUUCCCACACUCCUGCAGCCUGAUUUCAAAUGUAACACUAAACAUGAUGAUAGACAGUAAAUAUCAGAAAAGACAUGCACCAUGGCAGCAGUGUCUGUGAUUUGGGAUUAUGAUAAAUUUAGCGAAUUUUACUUUGAUGAUGGCUGACUUAGAGAAGCACAAAACCAUCCUUGUUUAAGUCCAAGCUUGGCAUAUUGACCCUGCAUAAUUGAUACAUAUUAACAAAUCAAAAGUUUUAGCAUAACUUCAACAUACUAGCUGACCAUUUCUUUAACAAGCAGAAUGAAAAUAUAGUAACAAAACUAAAAUAUGAAAAGGUACCUGAUUUGUCAGCUGGUUCUUGAACUUCUCUGGAUUCCUCUUUCUUUCAGAAUGAAAUGCAUAAGACACUUCUGCAUCCAUCCCUGCAUCAUGUCAAGUCAUGCUCGUCAUGUUUGAAUCUCUAGUGCCUGAACUCUUUUAAUUGUUAUCUUCUUAAGGAUUCAUGAAAUAUGAAUUUAAUUAAAAAAUGAUAAUCUGCCAAAACAUUAAGACUUGCGCUAGUUUCCUUAGUGGGUCACCAAACCACUAUCCUUUGUAGCAUGAACUAGUACCCAGCAUCACAUGUCAAGAUAAAAAGUAUAAAUAAACAAUUGGAUAGUAUAGGUACAUAAUGGUCUUGCCCCCAUUUCUGUAACAUAAAAGAGGAGAAUAACAGUGAAGCCUUACCCAUACUAAAGUAAUUCCAAAAUCCUCCACGGAAUGUGUGGUAACCUUCCUGAAGUAAGCAAGAAUCAUGGAAGCUUUGAAUUUAAUACAGUAACCAAAUGUCUUUGAUUGUAAUGGUGCAUAGCCAUUAUCUUAAACAAGCAUCAUUCCAUAGCGAAAAAAACUGCAAUAGAAAGAGAUGUCUUACCAUAUUGAGGGAGUCACUACUUGAGACACGAUGAAACGCAUGCAAUGAAUGAGGCAACUCUAAUGGAGCAAUAGGAUCGCAUGGGCCUUCUUCUGGAACUCGCAUCCUCAACAUGAUGUGCCAACUGAAACAUCAAGUUUACAUUAAAUUGAAUCUGCCUAAAUAUAAGAGAGAAGAAUAAGCAUGCUUUAAAAUGAGGAAAGAUAUGAAGAUGAAGAGUUGAUUAUUCAAUUAUUUUAAAUGUAAAUAAAUAACUUUGUAUCUUAGAAGCAGCAGAUACAUGAGCAUAGGAGCAUGCCCUUGUUGCUGCAAAUAUGAGACAAAUUCUUUUUGCCGCAAACACGGGAGAGCUACUUUUCUUCUUUGAGAAAAUAAUUCCGUACAAACUACUACAAGGAUGGGCUAGACAAGCACAAAACCACAAUCUGAAGAUUAUUUUCAUCCUUUGGGCAAUCAUUACAUAAACCAAAAAAACUAGCAAUGUGCUCUUUCUCUCAGGCAGUACCUAUCGAUCUUAAUUUCUCUUGCAUGCUUCACUAGUCCAAGGAAAGAUUUUACAGCCUCUUGGUCAGUAGAAGGAUUCUUCUUUCCCUGCAAUGUUGAAUUCGACAUAAAUUCCAAUCUUUUCUUACAUGUAGAGGCAAUUGCAUGCAAGAUAACAAGCUAAAGUCAGAUGAGAAAAAAUUGAUAAUCCAUCAAAAAAAUUACAUUUGCAUAUGACUUGAUAGGAUCAUAAAACCUAUAAGAGUGCAUCAACUUUCCAAAAUUUUCUACACUCAUGACUCACUGCAGCUUAAAUCAAUAAAAAUAAACAUAUAUACCACAACUUGAUCAUAUCCAAAGUAUUAGACAUUAUGUAUACAGGUAAUAAUAAGGUGGAUGACAGUCAUUGGUGCAUUAGCAUAGACCAUUGGUAAAUCACCUUUUUUAGUCUAAAUUUCAUCAAGGCUGAAAAACAUAUAAAUAACUUCCAGUUUUCCUUUUUGUUUGUAACAUGAGCGACGCAAUAACAUAAAGGAAAUUUGUUUUGUAAGACGUUAUUGGCCACCUACCCAUCCAAAUGAAAAGGGGAGGUUAUUUCCGGUUCCCAGAGGCACAGUUGCAACUGGAGGUGGGUGGGAAAGCUUAAGAUCACUGACUACCCCAAGCAGCCAGCUAGCUGUACCAUCACCGCCUGCAACCUAAUUGAAAUCUGUUUAGUCAAAAGAAGUACAGUGGGAAAGCAAAAUAGACAGACACCUAUGUAUAAUAAUAUAAUCUAAAUUCUGAAAGUGUUAUGACUCACAAUUAACCUCAGCUUCCUCCAAAUUUGAACUGCAAGAAUGUCUCCUUCCAUCUUUAGCCUUUCAACAUUGGCAUACAAACGAUGCAAAACCUUAUCUGGAGUCUCUUCUGAGAGAUCAAAAACCUGAAAAUAACUGAGCAACUCUCACAAAAAUUCCAGAUUUAAAAUGCCAUCAAGGCCAGAAGCACAUUUCCAUGGUCUCGCAUUCCCAGAAAGACAAGAGGUACCUGUGCUUCAUUGAGAAGCUCACGGUAUGUUUUGAUUAAACUACUUCCAAGUUGACCUCCAGAUCUUGAGUUGAUGAACACUACAAUGGGGCAGGGUGGCGCAUGAUCAACAAGUACUUGUUCGACACCUGGCUUCAGAAUGUAAUCUGGAAUGUAGUAGUCCUCCAGCUGCCCACAUGGUUUAGAACUCGAACCAACGACAGUCUCUGCCUCCCCUUCCAUCCUGCAAAACCGUUGUCACAGUUUUAAUGGGCUAACUCACUGGUGUUACAAAAGUUACUCCCUCCAUUCGUGAACACAAGGCAUGUUUUGAUUGGGUAGUCAUGAAUUAAUUUCUCUUACAACAGAAUCAACCCCAUCCUAAAGGCACUUGGGAUACGAAUCUAUUGAUGCAACAUUUGUGCACGAAGCAUGAAUUAUAAUUUGACCAGUUGUUGGUCAAAACUUGAAAAGUUUGACUUUUGCAAAUCAAAUACACCCAGAAUUAAAGGAUGGAAUGAAUUAGUUCUGCUAUUUUAGCAUCAUCAACAUAGAAUAACCGUGAAUGAUUUUUUGAGCACAUCAAGAUUACAAGAAAUGGAGAACGAGAAAGGAAUCAGGGUGCGGGCCAAGUAAAAGACAUGUACACCCGAUAAUUAACAUCGUAGUUAGUGGAUACGACACAUGUAUAGUGUAAUUGGGUCAGAUCCGAAUGCAUAUAGCUUGGGGGCUGCUCGCUUCCGCCCAGCAGGAAGGCAAGGGAAAGAACGGCGUACCUUUUGGAUGAUCGUCACCGGCGAAGCGCCCUCGCCAAGUCACCGCUGCUCGCCCAGCGCCGCUACCGCCGGCGAGGAUCUGGGACGUGAGCCACCACGGAUCGGAUCGAAAGCGAGGGAAAGCGUCGCCGCCUGGGUGGGCCCUGAGCACCGGAGAUUGAGAUUUGGUUUUCUGAGGUUUCGAUUUCGGAGGAAAAUCGAUGAGAGGAGGAUGACGGGGAGAACAGGAGGCACUCAGGCAGCCACACUUUCUUGGUUGUCAUCGUCUUGGGCUCGCAUGUUAGCCAUUUUAAGAUUUGACUUUUUUGGUGUGUUUUUUACAUUGACGAGUUUACUUUGCGUGGGAAGUACAUUUAGGCCGGUCAGUGGAAACAAGGAUGUCAUGCAUAUUUAUUAGAGCGUCAUGUCAGUAAAACUACACUUUUUGCAUGAAACAAAGAGGAGAGAGAAGGAAACUCUACGGGCGUUGUUUCCCACGCGAUGAAACGGGAUGAAAUCCCCACUGAGGACUAAAUUGUUUCACCAUCUUGCAUGUGAUCCAAUCAUUUUGUAGUAAUUAAAUGCUUUGCCCAGCUUAGGAAACGUCAAGGUGAAACUCAUGCAUUGUGAAAGUUGUUUCAUUGUUCGUUUCAUUGAUGCUCUGUCAGCAAAUUUGUUUUGGAAAUAGUGCAUUGAAAUGGGCCAUUGAGACUGGCCUUAUGAGCUUUAUUUUGCUCAAAAAGAAUUAUGAGUGUUUAUUUUUCUUCCUUAUUUUUAAAUGAUUACUAGUAUUGAAUAUUAUUACUAGCAUAUGAUUGCCCUUUUUCUACGUUGUUUGACGGGCAAGUGUCACUUAUCAGCACUUUCGAACUAUUUAUAAUUUCUUUGGAGAUGUCUUGAGUCUCAAAAAAAGUUAAAAUGAUUUAUAGUUAAUAAAAUUGAGGGAGUAAUUAUUAUGAUGAUAAGGUUAAUUUCAAUAAGUGCUAAGAUCAGUCUUAGUGGGGAUCUCAUCUCAUAGUUUCUAACACAUCUAGAUUUGAAAACAGUACAGAAGAGUUUCAUCACCAUGAAACUCUCACUACUAUGAUGAAACUCUUAUCAUCUCGCUUCAUUAAUACGGUGUCAUAUCAACACUUCCUUGAAACUCCUAUCAUAUCUCUCUUUCAUUAAUAUGGUGGUACAUCAGCAUAAUUAAUGUCCAUAAAACUUUGAUGACACCCCAUUAAGACUGGUCUAAUAUAGUGAUUAGUGUAUGUUUUUGUGUGCCAAUUAGGGUGGUAGUGCUAAUUAACAUAUUUAAUAUUUUUAAUUACUGAUUCUCACGCCAACAUUAGUGUUAGUGCAUAUUUAUUAAUAUAUAAUUAGUUGUAAUUAUAUUAAAAUAAUAGAUACAUUAUUUAACUAUUCUCAUCACAUCCACGCUCAUCCAUCCAACCAAACAAAAAAUUGGCUCGAUGCAUCCAAACAAAUAGAAAGUAUGAAUAAGUCCAUCCUAAAUGCAUGGAUGGUCAUAUCACAUCCAUCUUCAUCCUCAAACUAAACAUGCCAUAAAUGAUUGUACUAUUCGAGAUUACGAGUGUAUGAUUGUUCUUUUCUACAUUGUUUGAGGGAUAGGUGUCUUUUAUCAACAAUUUUGAACUAUUUAUUAUUUCUUUGGAGAUAUACAUAAAUCAAUUUCCACAAAAUAUCCCUUUUUAAAAAGAUCAAUAACAAUGCUUAAAAUUUACAUCAUUUUGAAUAGAAAAUUCAAAAACAAAAUAGUCAUGAAUAUUAAAAGCUCUAGCUAUUAGUAUCCUACAUUGCUACUUUCAAAAGCUCUAAGAAUAGUUUCUUAUACAAUAUACUGAUCCAUAACGAAAUAGUCAUGAAAGGGGGAAAAAGGCCAAGCAUGCAAUUUUUUUGAAAAAAAAACAAUAAACACCAUGGUUCAAACACCAUACAGAGAAACUAUGGUUUUAAUAUUGAUUAUACGCUUUUUGUUACCUGUAGCAACACAACCGCAAAUAUGCUAGUUAGAGUAAGAAAAAACAGAGAAAGAGGAGGCGCAAAUCAGAUCGGCCCAAACAUGGCUGUUGCACACAUGUUCAGGGUGAAUUGGGCCCAGCUAACCCAAAGCUCUACGUUUUAUUUACCACUUUCCCUAUAUUUCAGGAGACUGAAUUUUAAGAUGAUUUCAGACAAUACUUUUCUACUAUAAUUAGUAUAAGUAAAUUGUUACUUUUAUGAUUUUUUAUUUAUCUUUGUGUCAUAACAUAUCAAAUUUUUGUCCUGUCUAACUAUAGAAAUUGUGAAUUUUUAAAUUAUCUGUGUGCCAACACAUAUAAGAUUUUAUCAGGCUUGUGAUUUUGUCUAACUGGUUUUUUAUUAAAAAACGAACUAAAACUACAAUUUUAAUAUAAAAUAUAUGUAAUAACCAUCGUCUGAAGGAGAACUAAAAUCCAGGCACCUGAAAUUUAGCAUAUAUUCGAUGCUCACCUCAUUAGUGUCGUAUUAUAUACCGCGUGGAGGAGCAACACAACAAUUUUUCAUAAAAACGGCCGCUGCCGCUGCAAAGCUAUGGCUGUGUUUCUCUCUUAUUUGUACUGUAGAUUUCUGCAGCGUCAGCCGCUGUAAAGGCCAGCCGAGAAGGCUGAUCUUGUGGCAUGGUUGCCCGAGACAUGUUAAUCUUAUAUUUCCUAUAAAGUUAAUCUCCAUUACAAGUUCUAUCUUAACAUUCAAACAAUCUACAUCAUCUCGUAUUAACUAUCGACAUCAUAUUUUACUAAUAACCAUGUCAUUUCACUAAAACUAAUCUCACUACUAGUGUUAUCUUAAUAUACAAUCUAUCCACUAAUAUCCAUAUGAUCUCACUAACUUUUAACCUCUUAACGCAAGUUAUCCACGUCAUCUCCACUAAGCGCAAUUACUAGUUUCAAUAUAUAAGAAAUAUAAAAGGCAUCCAUAUAAUGUAAUUUGUUUUGCUGUUCCAUCUUAUAAUUUGAUCUAAUUUUGGUAGUUUUAUUAUUGGAUUCUUCUGUUGUCUUGCCUAAGGCCUUGUUUAGUUCCAAAAUUUUUUGGGAAAUCGACACUGUAGCACUUUCGUUUGUAUUUGACAAAUAUUGUCCAAUCAUGGACUAAUUAGACUCAAAAGAUUCGUCUCGUCAAUUUCGACUAAACUAUGCAAUUAAGUUUUAUUUUUAUCUAUAUUUAAUACUUCAUGCAUGUGUCUAAAGAUUUGAUGUGACGGGAAAUAUAAAAAAAUUUGCAAAAAAUUUUUAGGAACUAAACAAGGCCUAAUUGAUAAAAUGGAUAUAAGAGCAUGUAGGUUUGACUCACAUGUAACUGUUUUAUUUCUAAAAUAAUCCUUCUAGUUUACACAAAUUUGGUCACCAAAACAUUUCAGCAAUGGAAGUGAAUGGACUACUCCUUAGGUGGGAGUUGGAAGGGCCAAGAAACUACUCUGCCUGACCCCACUUUCAAGAGGGGAACAAUACUCAGUCUCAGUGUAUCCUGUGGCCUGCCUUUGUCUGUUCUCCUGCGCAAAGAUCUUUUGAGAUGGGUUGCGUUGGGUUGGGUGAGUCGCUUGUGGACCAUUUCCGAGGAUUGAUAGCAUCCUAGUAAAGGUGUUGCCACCAUGAUUCCCCCUCUUUGCAUUCCAUGGCCAUGCUCCUCCUAGCUAGCUUUCUCCUGUCCCCUUCGACAGACAAUUCGAAUGCUUGCUAGCUCAACGGCUGGCGGCUAUGUGAGCACAGGCUCCUGAAAGCUCUCGUGGAAUAAAUAAAUAAAGAAGCACGAAAGAAGAUUAGAUUUGCUCUUUUUCGUGAUAAGUACCACGAUUAGCAGUUUUGGUCAAAGAAAAAAGACAUCCUGACUAUGCUGGCAAUUUUCCUUAGAUUUGCUCUUUUUCGUGAUAAGUACCACAAUUAGCAGUUUUGGUCACGAAAAAAAAAGACAUCCUGACUAUGCUGGCAAUUUUCCCGGCAGAAGAUUAUAUAACCUCGGAUCUCGUAACCAUAGCCCAUAGGAUGGCAUAGCUUAUUAGUAUGAUUGAGGUGUCUUCUUCUCAAACUAAACUUAAGGGUCUUUUAAAAUGGUCUGUGGUCAAUCAAGGAGAAGCUCUGAUCCCCUCAAUCUGCAAUAUUCUUGAGCUCCUGAUGACUCAUGCUUGGCCACUAAUCUAUUCCCCAAGUCAGUGUGCCACCGGUUGCAAGCAAAGCUGCAGGCCACCGGCAGGCAUGUGGCUUGUUUGCACGAUGCUUCCAUGUCCAUGCUAAACGCCAGCAGAAUUUAAUAGAAACGCUUCAGUCCCCUGCCUGCAACUCUCUUUCACACCACAAAGCAAAGCAGCAGGCAGCAACAGCAAGCGUACAUCCAUGCCAUGAUGUCUCCCUGCUUUCAUUUUCAGGCGUGUUUCUUUGUGGUGAGUGGUGUCGAUAGCGACCGGGUCUGGGAGCAAAAGAAAAGAUCAGGGCGAAGAAUCUGAUGCCCCUAAGCAGGCAGGCAGGCAGGCAGGCUUGUGGGCUUUGUGGCAGUAUCAAAAUCUGCACGUUGCUGUCACUGACCUGAUGAGCUUUAGUAGAUCAACCUCAACCUCUGCAGAUUUUUCAAAUGAUGUUACUUCUGCGUUCCCCCUACCCAGUCUGGAUAUUUUCCAUUUAAGAACACCUAUUUGACCAGAUAACCAGGCAUCCACACAGGAAUCAUAUCCUAAUAAUCCCAAGCCCAACUGGGAUAAUUAAGAAUUCCAGAUCCAUCUUUGCCAUGUGGCAACUUGCGCAAAUUGUAUUGCCAGGUGAGCAACAGUGCCGCAUGUUUCAGCUGCCAUUACAACAAUAAAUAGUAAAUCUCACCAAAAGAACUGUGGCGGGACAUGAAAUUAGGACUUAGGGCACAAAGGAAGCACCGAGACAGUGAGGCCAUCCAUCACACAAUGCCAGUGAAAAUGCGAGCCUAUAUCAUUUCUCUUAGGUUAGCACAUACACCUCAUCCACAAACAGAAGAGGAGGAAGGAAUUAAACACAACAAAGUCGGGGGACAUAUACAAAGUCGUCGCCAUUUAGGAAUACUAUCAUGGUUCUGGGGCAGCUGCCCUGAUAACUAUGCGCGCACAAGGUUGACGACUGAAGAACGAUGUACGCCUCAAUUUGAUGACCGAAGAAAGAUGUAUGCCUUGACGGAGACUGAUCUCGUCAUGAUCCACACCUUCCCGAAGCUUGGAUACACUAAAAGUGACCUUCUAAUGUAGUUAGCAUCAUCAUCUACACCAGUCACAUGUUGCCUGCCUCAGGUAAAGCUGCAAUAACAAAACAGAAAUCUACCAUGAGCAACUUUGAACAUAAUCAUGAAACAAGACUCAAACUGAAUUACCAAAUUUCACCAAAAGGUGUUCCAACCUACAGAAAUUACCAAUCAUGAAGCUGUCCUAGCAACAACAAAAUAUAGUUCCAAGGCUCAAAUACUAGGCAUGAACACCUUCUCUGACUGAAGCAUUCAAGUGCGAUAAUUGACACAAAUUGCCACUUGGCACCUCACAAGCCCACAUACCAUCUACAUGUCGCUACACCGAAAAUAGACCACAAAAAAGUGGAAAUGUAAUGCUUUUAUAGAAACUAAAAGCAAGUUCGCUACCCAUCAGCUAGAGCACUACUGGGAUUGCGGAUCACUCCAAGCAUCACAUGAUGGCUCUUGGCAAGGCAAGCAAAGCUUUCUCGUUAUCACCCCCUGAUGCCUUUUUCCCAGUAGAAACUUCAUGACCUCAAAACCCACAAGUAGCCGUCAUAAUGAUAUAGGCUUACUGCAACUUCUAUAUCAAUUUGCUCACCUUACAAUAAUUUUUAUUAAUUCUUCCCUGGCAAUGCUACUCACGAGUUAUUUAAAAGAGAUUGAUCCACCAUAUUUAUUUUUUUUAAUUCAGUACUUCACAUCAUGCUUGUUAAGAUGCAUAAUUGCAUCCACGUCCGGCAGCAGAAACUUUUUCCCAUUUUUGUAGUACAGUGAAUGGUACUUGCAGUUCUUAAGUAUUCACUGAAAUAAACAUGCCAUGGAAUUUUCAGAUCAAGGGGGGUUUGCAGACUCACUCAUUUCGGCCAAUGCCCGCGUUGGAGCAAUUCCUCGCCGGAGUGCCGCUCCCGGAUUGCGCCGACCCAGAGCUGAAGAAAUCUGAGGGUGAUCUCUUCCUGUGGCGGGAGGAGGCGAGGAACCGGCCACCGUUCCGGGAGGAGGUGGCCUCGUCGCUGCGGCCGCCGUGGUGCGCUGACGACAAGUGGUGGCACAGGCCCGGCUGCGAGGUGGAGCACGGCAUGUUUUCCUGGAAACAAACAUGGCGACAUUUGGAUCAGAACGACCGGUCGCUCACGAAAUUGGAGGAGACGGUGGAUCCUAUCGACCGCGAUGAUUCACGAGGGAAAGCGUCCCGAUCGACUAAAAAAAUUGCAUCUUUGCAAAGCGAUAGAAUGGCAGAUCGAGCGAUGGAAUGGCAAAUCGAGGAGCAGGUGGAGAGAGAGAGGGGAGCUAAAGGCGGCACCUUUGCGCAAUCUGCGGCGCUCGCGCCGUUGGCGGGGGCCUCCCGGCUGCUGCUGGACGUGGAACUGGCGACGGGCGGCGGCGUCGCCUCGGCCUCCUCCGUCCACGGCACGACCUGGUUCUCCCCCUCCCCUUCCUCCUCCUCCUCCUCCUCAUCCUCGUCGUCCUCAACGACCACCUCGUCGUCAUCGUCGCCGCCGUCGUCGUCGUGGUCCUCUUCUUCGUGGCCGCGGCCGUCGCCCGCGCCGCCCAUCUCCUCGUCGCCGCCGCCCACGCCCACAGCGCCAGGGCCGCGGCGGACGCAGCGGUCGCAGAGGGAGGCGGUGGGGCCGAGGCGCGGGCCCGCGGCGCGCCACGGCGUGGGGCGCGCGCAGCCCCGGCACAGGAGCGCGCGCGCGUGGCGCGCCACCAGGAAGUUGGCGCCGUGCACCUGCGCGUCGCAGCCCCAGCAGAGCGUGGCCUCGUCGGCGCCGCAGUACACCCUGGCCGCGGCGCCGCACAGCUCGCACGCGCCCCCGGGGCCGGCGCCGGCGCCGCCUCUCUCCUUCCCCCCUUCCCCCGCCGCCGCCGAAGACAUGAUCCUCGGCCUUGGACCUCGCCGCCACACGCACAGGGGGGGAGAUUUCUCGGUUUCUUUCUUUCCGUGGCUUCCUCCUUUGUUUGGAGAGCGGCGAGAGAGAUGUGAGGAGGGAGGGAGGGAGAGGGAGUAAACGGAAGGAAGGAAGGAAGGAGCAGUGGGGUGUGUGUGUGUGAUGUGAGGCUGGAGUUUGGUUGGGUGCGGGAGGUUUUGAGCCUCCAACCGAGGAUCCUCUGCGGAUGCGCUUCGCUCCCACUUCUGGCCGCGGGAGCCUCCAGCUGGACAUUCCUCCCUUCCAUGCCUUUUUUUUUUUUCUCUCUCUCUUGCCCCCUCACCCCUCGCGCGCUCACUCUGUGUCUCUGUCUGUCCUUCCCGGAGGCGUGGCUGUGGACUGUGGACCAUGGGUUUAUCUUUAUCCAGCAACUGCAAGAGUAAACAUAGCAUGGUUCAGAUUUAUUUAUGGAAAUAUCUAGAGAAAGGCUAUCCAGCUACUAAAAGCCUAUUUGUUGCUUUGAAUGACUGACAGAUUCAGUUUAUAAAAACUCAAGCAAACAGGCUCUAAGUGUUGGACACACUUUUUUUCGGUGCUCGUCUCACCCCCUUAUUUUCCAACUCCAACGAGCUUAAAAGACAAGGGGUUUGGGAGAGAAAAAUUGGCCAGACAAUGGAGCGUCCAUGGUCGGAGCUCACCGCGGAAGAAGGAGGGGGAAGAAGGCGGCUGUCACGAGCGAGCUCCAGUAAAACCCUAGCGCGCCCGUGGCGGGGCGGUGGGCGGCAGUGACAGCGCAUUGAGCUUGAGGAAAAAGAUACGAAGAGGGAAAAUUAGGUGUCGGGGAGAAGGACCAGAUCCAAUAUUUAAUAUGAGUUCUUUUACUUCUUUUGUACGUAUCAUAAAUGUUAUAUAGUGGCCAUUAACCUUGUAUUUUGGGCUUUUAGCAAAGACUUUAAAACGCGCAGCCUUUUUAAAGGCGCACCGUACAACCACCUAACCUAUCUCCCUCCCCACUCCUGCACCCGCCAGGUCGUCUUGCACCUCACGCAUCUUCUCUGUGUCUAACUCUGGCGAUGGGUUCUAGCUAGCGACAGGGGGGUUCAAUGUCGGCGUAGGUGUGUCCUUCUUCUCCCGCAUUCAAGCACUCCCAAGUUAGGGUACUGGUGGGCCCCUUUCUUCUUCUUCCACAACUCUGGUCGGCUUAGUAGAGAAGGGGCUCAGGAGAGGAAGGUCGCCCAAGCGAUAGGGACGGUGGCUUAGGGUUUUGGCAGUAGUAGAGGUGGCCAGGGCAGGUCGAGAUGGGGCGGCCAUGGUAUGGUGUUGUCGGGAGGGGUGAGGGAAAAAGGGGACUGCCACAGGCAUGCAUGCUAGGGUUUCACCGGAGCUCUACACCCGCGCCGCCACGAUCGCGGAGCUUCGCUGAAACCCUCGUGCACCCACGGCGGGACAAUGUAUGCCAGGGCGAUGGGACUAAGGAGAAGGAAUAAUAAUAAUAAUAAUAAUAAUAAUAAUAAUAAUAAUAAUAAUAAUAAUAAUAAUAAUAAUAAUAAUAAUAAUAAUAAUAAUAAUAAAAAAAAAAAUAAUGAUAAAUAAUAAAUAAUAAUGAUAAUAAUAAUAAUAAAUAAUAAUAAUAAAUAAAUAAAUAAUAAUAAUAAUAAUAAUAAUAAUAAUAAUAAUAAUAAUAAUAAUAAUAAUAAUAAUAAUAAUAAUAAUAAUAAUAAUAAUAAUAAUAAUAAUAAUAAUAAUAAUAAUAAUAAUAAUAAUAAUAAUAAUAAUAAUAAUAAUAAUAAUAAUAAUAAUAAUAAUAAUAAUAAUAAUAAUAAUAAUAAUAAUAAUAAUAAUAAUAAUAAUAAUAAUAAUAAUAAUAAUGAUGAUGAUGAUGAUGAUGAUGAUGAUGAGGAUGAUGAUGAUGAUGAUGAUGAUGAUGAUGAUGAUGAUGAUGAUGAUGAUGAUGAUGAUGAUGAUGAUGCCCUAAGUACCUCUAUUUAUUAGAAUUGAUUUUCCUAGGUGUCCCUUUGGAAUGUAUGAAAUUUACCAAAAUCCAUUUAAGUAUAUACAGGGAAAAAAAGCAUGACUAGAGGGGGGGAAUAGUAUUACAAACAAUGGCUGAACCAACAAUUUUGAUUAAGGAGGCGGGACAAAUAGUCCUUAAAUGUAAAAAUAUACAUAAGUGUAUGUCUCAACAGAUUUUUAAAUAUUUUUAUAGUAUUAUAACAAAAUUCAUAAUAUUUUAAUAAAAAAUGGGUGAGUUGAUCCUUUGUUGUGCCGUAUAGAGCAACUCCUAGAAUCUCAUUGUAUCCUUUCUGAUUAGUACGAAUAGAGAUUUUUAGUAAAAAAAAACUCUAGCUACUUGUUUAAGCUGACCUCAAAUUUUAUAAUUCUUUCAAGUUUUUUUUGUAAUUCUUUCUAUAAUUUUGGUUAAACUGUAAAUGCUUUGAUUCUCUAUAAGAAAAUUAAAAUAACUUAUAGUUUAGAACGGACGUCGUUAAGGUGACAUGACUAGUUAUUAUUGUACCGUUGGCAAUCAAGUGUUAUCCGGGCAAAGUGAUGAAUCUUCCUUUCGGAAAAAAAAAAAUAACGCGCGCGACUGCCGACAGAUGAAAGUAAAGGUUAUUUGUGCCACUAGUAGGAAUACUACGCACGAGUACGAGACGAUGAUAGGGAUGUGUAGCAGUUAUUUCUUCUUUUGUAAAAAAACAAAAAAUUUUAGCGCAGGUUGUGUACCUAGACGCAUGCAUGCAUGCAUGAACAAAGGCUCGAUGGAAAAGAUGGUUGUCCAGGCAUCAUCAUCAUCGUCCAUCCAUAACAAAAGAUCACUUAACAGUGACAUGUCUCGAUAUCGAUAUAAAAAAACGUGAGGCUGGGAAUUGAUCAAGAGGCGGAGUGGCCGCGAAGGAAGCAAACACCAGGCCACCAGCAGCAGAGCAUAGGACAGCGCGAGGCCGCAAGGGCCGCCCGCCACAAGCUCCACGGGUCCGCCCCCACGUGACGUGAAGCGCCCCGGAUCGAUGAUAUCCAUCCCGCGGUGCCACCUCGUAUUCCUCGUCUCUCCCCCACACACCUACCCACCUCACCAGCAAACUCACACGACACAUGACCCUACUCCCGGCCCUCAAAUACUUUUUAGGCCUUUUUUUAGUUAACCCUAAAAAUCAAAAACUUUUCAAGAUUCUCUGUCACAUUGAAUCUUGCGGCAUAUGCAUGAAGUAUUAAAUAUAGACGAAAACAAAAACUAAUUGCACAGUUUGCCUGUAAAUUACGAAAUGAAUCUUUUAAGCGUAGUUAGUUUAUGAUUGGACAAUGUUUGUCAAAUAAAAACAAAAAUAUUACAGUACCGAAAUUCAAUUUUUUUUUAAACUAAACAAGGCCUAAGGACUUAUUUAGUUCCUAAAAAUAUUUGGAAAAAAAAUAGAUUAUCUGUCAUAUCAAAUCUUACAGCACAUGUAUGAAGCAUUAAACAUGGAUAAAAAUAAUAAUUAAUUACACAAUUUACCUAUAAUUUGCGAGAAAAAUCUUUUGAAUCCAGUUAGUCCAUGAUUGAAUAAUAUUUAUCAGAUACAAACGAAAGUGCUACAGUGUCCAUAAAAAAAAAUGGAACUAAACAAGACCUAAGUACUCCCUCGAGACCCAUAAAACAAAUCGUUUUAGACAAUGGCACGGUCUCCAAAGUCUAACUUUGACUUCUUGUUUUUAUAAAAAUAUUUAUCAAAAAGUGGUAUAGAUAUAUUUUUGUAAAAGUAUUUUUCAAGACAAAUCUAUUCAUAUGGUUUUCAUAUUUUCAAACUCAACAACUUAAAAGUUAUUCAUGAUUUAUAUUCCCAGUGUUUGACCCAAACCUUGUCAAAAACGACUUGUUUUAUGGGUAUAGAGAAAGUAAUAGAUUUUUUUCCCUCUCUCUAUACGCCACUCCUUGCUCUACUACAUCAUUCCCUCCAUCUCAAAUUAUAAGUCAUUUUUAAGAAUGUUGGAGAGUCAAAACAUCUCAAUUUUGAUCAAAAUUAUAGAAACAAUUACAAAAAUUUAUAACAUCAAAUAGGUAUAAUAUGAAACUAUGAUUAAUGAACAAUGUAAUGAUAUUAAGUUGAUAUCAUAGAUAUUAUUAUCUUACCAUAUAAAUUUGUUCAAACUUAAGAUGAUUUAACUCUCCAAAAUUCUUGAAAUGACUUAUAAUUAUAAUUUAGGAUUAAGGGAGUACUACCCACUGCCGUCCUUAGUCCUCUCUCUAUGGGUUUUUUAUUUGGCUAUGGUAGCAUUUUUAUUUUAUUUGGUAAUUAGUAUCUAAUUAUAUUUUUUUUUUGAGAUUACACAGUACAACGCAGACACUCAACCCGCACGCACACUCACCCCUAUGAACACACGUACGCAAACCCUACCCCUAUGAGCACCUUCGAAGGACGGAGCCAGCAAAUCUUGAAGUUCACGAAGUCACCACAAGCGUCUCGCUGUCAUAAAUUAUAUAUAAAUUAUAUAAUUAUUUUUUAUCUAUAUUUAAAGCUCUAUCUAUACGUCUAAAGAUUUAAUGUGAUGGAUAAAAAUAAAAAUUUUAUAAACUAAACAGGUUCACUCGUGUGAUGCCCAUUUGCUUGUCUUCUUAGCCCUACUUUUUCUAGCACCCAAAAGUAUUCAAACCUGCGAAUGACAGCGAACAGACUCAAGGUCCUGAUACCGUACUCCUGUAUACGAGACGAGCCAUAUAUAUAUAGACCGACCUGAAACGUGCCAACCAAUGUACCACCCGACCUGGCAAGCUGCAAAACUAGCUGCAAUGGUAAACGUCAAAUAAUGCAUACCACAGGAUGACAGGAACAGGCCGUGUUUAGUUCCUUUUAGGAAAAAUUUCGCGACACUGUAGCACUUUCGUUUGUUUGUGGUAAUUAUUGUCCAACCAUAGACUAGCUAGGUUUAAAAGAUUCGUCUCGUAAAUUUCAACCAAACUAUGUAAUUAGUUUUAUUUUCAUCUAUAUUUAAUAUUUUAUGCACGCGUCUAAAUAUUUGAUGUGACGAAGAAUCUUGAAAAUUUUUAGCUUUUUGGAUGGAACUAGCCGUGUUUAGUUCCUCAACCAAAACAUUUCGUUACACUUGUAGCUUUUUCGUUUAUUUGUGGUAAUUAUUGUCCAACCAUAGACUGACUAGACUUAAAAGAUUCGUCUUGUCAAUUUCGACCAAACUGUGUAAUUAGUCUUUAUUUUCAUCUAUAUUUAAUACUCCAUGCAUACGUCUAAAGAUUCGAUGUGCUGAGAAUCUUGAAAAUUUUUAGGUUUUUGAAGGAAACAAGGCUGCGGCCAAGACAAAAAGUUUCGUCUGGAUUUACGGGGUUCCCCAAAAUUUCGAGGAUGGCGUGUAACGUGUUGACUCACUUUGAAACACACAGCUUCGAAACGUUCGUGACAUGCAUGAUGCUUGAUGCAUCUGUCAUGUGUGCGAAGACUUCCAUGGACUUCAACAGGCUUUGUUUAGUUCCAAAAAAUUUGGCAAAAUAUAUGCUGUAGCACUUUCGUUUGUAUUUGACAAAUAUUAUUCAAUUACAGACUAACUAGACUCAAAAGAUUCGUCUCGCAAAUUACUGCUAAACUGUGUAAUUAAUUAUUUUCUUUUAUCUAUAUUUAAUACUCUAUAUAUAUGUACUGUAAAAUUUGAUGUGACGGGAAAUCUGAAAAAUUUUGUAAAACUUUUUGGAACUAAAGCUCGGAUACCCGUAGUCCGGUUAUCCUGAACUAGUGCAUCUAGCUUGUUCGCUUGUCUUAUUAGCCGUAUUUUUUUUUUGUAAGGCCUUGUUUAGUUCCAAAUAAUUUUACAAAAUUUUUCAGAUUCCCCGUCACAUCGAAUCUUUAAAUGCAUGCAUGGAGUAUUAAAUAUAGACGAAAAUAAAAACUAAUUAUACAGAUUGGUCAAAAUUGACGAGAUGAAUCUUUUAAGCCUAGUUAGUCUAUAAUUGGAUAAUAUUUAUCAAAUACAAACGAAAGUGCUACAGUGUCAAUUUUCCAAAUUUUUUUGAACUAAACAAAGUCUAAGUCAACAGUUUUUUUUCAAUAAAUUAGCGAAUAAUAUUUUCAGCCAUGACUUUUAAGACUAGCUAACAGGAUAAACCCAACCUCCUACCAAUUUUCAGUGCCAUCCCUAGACCUACACGCGACGUUGCACACUGGUCUCCCAACACCUUGUUUGUCUAUUGGUUUUCUACACCGGUUCUCUAUGGUUUCGCAUGGUGACAUUCUACCAAAUUUAUUGCACGCAAUUUACGCAAUUUACUAUUAUGAGAAUGUUUGUGGCUCGUUAUAAAAAAAAAAGAGAUAUUUGUAGUAUACAAAGAAAAAAGUUAUUAAGACCCUAACGUGGUUUUGACUUUUCCAAUAACAAUAAAACUUUAAUUGUGUGGGUAAGGCUUAUAACACUUUUGUUUUUAUUUGACAGACAUUUUCCAAUCAUGAAGUAACUAGACUUAAAAGAUUCGUCUCGCGAUUUACAGGCAAAUUGUGCAAUUAGUUUUUGUUUUCAUCUAAAUUUAAUACUUCAUGCAUGUGCCAUAAGAUUCGAUGUGACAGAGAAUUUUGAAAUUUUUUUGAUUUUUAAGGUGAACUAAACAAGGCCUAAAUGAUGCAAGACAAUAUAACAACGCUUUCCACUACUGUCUAUAUUACUAGUAUUUUAUACUAUACGACCCAACAGGAACGAAUGGUGAUUAGUUUGUCUUGCAUACAUAGUUGACAAAAUUAAUCCUGGCCCUUCCAAAUCAAUUAAAGUAAUGAAUGUAAAGAUUUCAUCCAAAAUUAAAAUCACAGCAACACAACACAUGUAAGUUACACUUGUACCUGAUGUAAUUUAGCCAUAAAAUAUUUUAAAUAGUCUAAUAGUUGGUCGUUUUGAUGCUACGUUAAAUUCGCACAACAUCCUAAAGUAUGGAUAAAUUAAAGUAAAUUUAAUCAAGAAGUGAGACAUUGACAUCAUUUGUUGUUUAUUGCUUUCUUGUAAGUUUCUGUAAGGGCAUGCUUGGUUCGCUCCCAAUGCGCGCUGCAACAGCUACGCCUUGUUUACUUGCAUCUGAAAACCCAAAAAUUUUCAAGAUUUCACGUCACAUCAAAUAUUUAUAUGUAUGCAUAGAGUAUUAAAUAUAGAUAAAAAUAAAAACUAAUUACGCAGUUUGGUCGAAAUUGACGAGACGAAUCUUUUGAGCCUAAUUAGUCCAUGAUUGGACAAUAAUUACCACAAACAAAUAAAAGUGCUACAGUGUCGCGAAAUUUUUCACUUCACUAACUAAACAAGCCGUAAACGCCUGCGCUGCACUUCAUCCAAAGUUUGGAGCCACCUGUGGCGGCAGCCAAACACGUACAUCUAGCAAUUCUGGCCAAUGCAAUUUAUUGUUUCAGUUUGCCAGCCCCUAAGGUUUGUUUAGUUCACCCAAAAACUAAAUUUUUUUUAAAAUUCUCUAUCACAUCAAAUCUUUCGGCACAUGCAUAAAACAUUAAAUAUAGACGAAAAUAAAAACUAAUUGCACAAUAUCACACCCAUAUUUUAAGAACAAAAUAGGAUGCAUAAAAGACUCAUAUGUGCCCCAGAAACAGUCGCACACAUAAGUAGACAAAUCCCAAUUGUACCAUUGCAGUGUUUAUUACAUAGCGGAACAUAAUAUAUAUCACAUAGUCUCAUACAAAAAUGAUAGCAUGAAGUAAACAACGCUCUCGACGGAAGCUCCUCACAGGGACAACAUUGACUGGUUGACUUCAAACCUAGUACUUAUAGCGAUAAUCCUCAUUUCAAUCAUCAUCAUUAGCAUAACCUGGGGUGUUGGGAAAUUGCAAGAGUGAGCACAUAUCUCAACAAGUAUAACCAGGGGUUCAUGAGGCUCAAAAAGCUGACACUGGUUUGACUGCAUUUAGCUUUUAAUAGUGGAUAGCAUGUUCAUAAUUAAUGAGCAAUUGUCAAGGUAGCAUAAAUAAUCCAUUAAUCACAUGAUCAAGUGUAAGCAUAAUUAAUUCAUAGCAUAAACGGUAAUCAAAUGAACAUAAAUAACAUAACAAGCUCAUCAUCUUAAUGUAGAUGUCCCCAAGGCCGCUCCUGACCGUGAGCUCGACUAGUAUACCAGUUUUACACUCUGCAGAGGUUGUACAUCUUUACCCAUGAGUCAUGAUUUACCCUUUCGCCCGAGGUAACUAGUCUCUUAACCCCCUUCCUAGGGAGGUCGGCAGGGAUCACUAUGAAGCCUUUCAAAAAUUCGUCUAACAUGUUAGGGCCGCAAGGUUUCCUUUGCAAGCAGAUAUAGAUACCCCCCUUCCGAAUGGUACAAUGACGCGCAGCCUAUACACAUAGGGACAGGGGCUCGCACUAUACCCGUGUCGGUUCAGCCCCUCCGCCCUUUCGGGUAACCUCUAACAAGCUAGAAAAGGUCUCCAUACUGAGCUAAAGCCAGAGCCAUUAUAGCCCUCAUGGUUGCACUGUUAUCCCGGGUGAUCACGUACAGACAAGAUCUCAUACAGUUAUUUGUCAUUCUUUUAUAUUCAUUGCAUAGCUAUUAAUCAUCUUACAAGGUCAUGGAUUAUAUCAAGCACUAGCACAUCUACAUCAAAUGCAUAUCAAGUAUGUAGCAAGGAAUCCAGGUAACAAUCAUCUAUAAUUUUGCUAAGGUCGACAAGGUGAAAGCAUGCAUGUGAUAUAUAUGUGUAUUUAUAAGUGAAUAGGUAACAAGGAUGAUCCCAAGUUAUACUUGCCUUGAUCAAAGCUCUCCUGAGCCUGCUGGUCUUCAAAAGCUUGGUCUUGAUCACCAACGUACGGCUCACCGUCUAUUCCCAAACAUCAAUCAACAACACGCAAUCUAAUGUAGACAAUCAUACACAAAGCAAACAAGCUAUAAUUAGAACAUUACACCAACAGUGAGAAACCAAAGAUAAAAGUUGAUGAAAAUAUUCUACGCAGCGCUACGAUCACACAAACGUAAAGUUCACGAAAAUCGGAAUUAAAACGUAGAAGUUAUGAAUUUUCUAAGAUUUCCUAUAGAGAAAUAAUUAAUUAAAUACUACUGCAGAAUUAAAAAGUUUCAAAACAGAGAAUAAAUACUUCUAACAUGUAGAGCUCGUAAAUACGAAUCUAACGAAAUUUGAAUGGACAAAAACGGAGUUAAAAUGAAUAUUCUAUAAGCAAUUUAAGUUCAGUGGCAAUUCUGUAAUUAUUGGAAAGCGUAUUUUAGAUUCAACCGACCAGAAUACGCUUACUGAAAUGGAAAGCGUAAAGCUGCUUGAGGCGCCAGGGACCGUGGAGCAAAAACUGAAUACUUCAGGGACUCUUAAAGCAAAAACGCAGCGAAGAGGUAAGUUCUAAUCUCGCCCGUAGAUGAUCGAUCGGACGGCUCCCGAUCCGCCAGGGAGGGCCAGGCGGCGGCCGGCCGGCUUCCUCUGCCCCGACGCGGUGGCGCGCCAUGGGCGCGACCCAGAGCUCACCGGAGCUCUUCGAUUCCCCGUUUCCGACCACCAAAACUUGAAAGAAAAACUCCGGGAGGGCGAGAAGCUCACCGCGACCUCGCUGGGACCCUUUGCUUGGGCCGAGAGGUGACAAAAACGGCUCGCGGCGUGCGGCGGUGGAUUUGGCUCUCGGCGAGAUUCAAAACUUGGCUAGACGGCUGCUAGGGCUCAGUCUGGCGGCGUGGAGGGGAAAGACGGGGUGCGGCGAGAUAGUUGAGGCUUUAAAGGACGCAGUUUUGCUAUCUUGGCAAGGAAAUCCCCGAACUUCGGGAUUGCUUCAGCCGGAGAAGGAAACCUGCUCGGUUACGACGUGGAGAAGAAAACCAUCGCGCUGACAGGUGGGGCCCGAGCGCUAGAGAGAGAAGGGCGGGGCCCGGCUGGCGGUGAGAGAAAGGGGGUGGGAGAGAGGAGGGGCGCGCGGGUCGGCCAGGCGCUUGGUGGGCCGCGCUAGCAGGCCGGGGGAGUAGGAGGCUCGGGGGGGGGGGGGGGGUUUAGCUGGGCUGCGAAAACAGAUUCCAAGGGGGCUACUCCCCUUUUUCUCUUUUUCUUUUCUAUUUUCAUUUUCCAAGACAUUUUCUAAAAGAGCAUUUUUGAGCAUAACAAAUAAGAAAAAAAUAGAAACAACACACAAAAUAAAUGUUAUUCUCAGCAUGAAUGCAAAAGCAUGUUGGUAGCCUUAUGAUGAAUUUUAUUCUCCACAAAAUAAUUUUAUUUGCUAGGUUUAAAUGCUCACAAAAAUACUUAAAUAAAUCAAAUUAAUUCCUAUUAAUUGAAAAUCGCGAGACGAAUCUUUUGAUCCUAGAAAGUUGUGGACACCGACGAGGAAGCUGAUUUAUUUUUAUGGGCCGUACGUAUGUCAUGAGUACAACUACUAGUAAAAUUUUGCCAUGCUUUCUCUGUACUAGUACUUUCAUACGAAUAUUUAAAUCUAUGUCAAUAACGUAUGGGGCGUGGAAGAUUUCACUCUACGGACCAACCCCAACACUCACUAGUAUUUAAAAAAAUGUCGUAUGUGCUUGACUGUCCAUAGCACAUCACCUCUUCUAGCCGGCUACUCCUAAAAAUUACUAACGCCUAUACUACAAUACAAGUUAUAUAAUAGUGGGGCACACAAACUCGUAGUUGCAUUUUAUUUUGGGACAAAAGGGAGUACUUUGUCUUAUCCAACAACAUGAAAGUUUAUAUAUUUUCGAAAAUAAGCUGAAAUUCAAAUUACAAAGGUGGCAAAGUAUCCAUGCCAUCUUUAAUUUAGGUUCACUAGGAUAAGGAUAUGUAGGCAUUCAAGAUGGGUGUUUUCUAUAGCCAUAAUCUUGGAGUUAUCUAUGCUAGUAGAUAACACUUGAAUAGACACGGACAAUAAGUGGAUGAUGUGUUAUGAUAUACUCGGAGCUAGUGUUGUGUCAAACUAGAUCUCAAAGCUAUAGAGUUGUGCCAAACAUGUUCUAAAGAGCAUCUUUCACAGUUUGAUCAAGCCACUUCCAAAAAUCUUCAAGUAGGCUUGUUUCUUAUUAUUUUAUUCAGAAGCAAAUUAUAGAAAAAUGUUGCAAAACCAGAUUUUUGGACUCUUCUUUUUUAUUAGACACCGUUGGAGAUGAUGCUCGAAGAGCAAUACCAGGAUAUGUCAUAAAAUUCUUGUGAAGCACCAACUAAUGAUCGAGGUCAUAAAUUAUAAAUCAUAUGGACCAACAAUUAAUGGUAGACGGUUGAACUCCUGAAUUGAAACUCGCCAUAAGUAUGCACAUACAUGACUUAUGUUGCUGAUGAGACUACAUUUUCCCACGAAACGGCUAAAAUGGAAAACCGAUUAUCCAUGAGAUAUAUAUCUUGAGCAUCAUUCCCUCAAGAUAUAAGUUCCAUGACGACAGCACUUGUGGACCAUUGUACCCAAGAUCAGAUAGUUUCUUCAAACUUUAGAUGCUGGUAGAGAAGUGAGGCUCACAGUCAUCUCCGAAGAAUAUCCCCGAAGAAUAUAAUGGAUCCAUUAUAUUCUUUGUACCAACAAGCUAACUCUAUUGUGUGUCGAUUUUCUAGUGAAUGACUUAGGACCAUGGAAAACGUAUAUAUCAUUUGAAGUGCAAAAGCUAUAACAUCACUUGAUCCUUUUGGGCUACAAUCUCCUGCCAAAUGUCUGAAUAAGCAAGCGCCUUUUUGCUCAAUACUUGCACAUAUAGCCAUAUAGUAGUACCUCAACAACAAAAGGAGAGAAUAAAAGAAAAAAAGGACCAAGACACCAUCAAGGCAAAUCGCAACAAAAAAAAAAACAUCAAAGCUCGGCCCUAGAAAAUAUGUGGACCUGAAUAACUUGCAGCAUGCACAUAUAGUUAAAAUUAAAAACCGAAAAUAAUAUAUACAGUUGAUGGAGAGUCCAGCAGCAGAGAUAAGGUUCGCUGACGAAAUGGGAUCAGAGAGUUCGCCUAGCGAUGGCAUGUUCAUAUGUAUUCGAAACAUCGUACCAAUGCUUUAGCUUUUACAAUGGACUGUAGCAGGGAAUCACCUUUUUUUGGUUGUUGGAGUGACAUAAAGAGUCACAAUAUACUGCAUUUCACCCGACAUAUAUACUAUUCUCCCUCACUUCAAAAUGCAAGAUUUUUUUUAUUAUCUCCUAGAUCAAACAAUCGUCAAGUUUGACCACGUUUAUAUUAAGAGUCUGUUCUUUUUUUUCAGGUGUACUUUUUCUGUCAGUUAGGAGUGUUUAAUUUUAGUCUUAAUUUUUCAGACCAGCGAACAGACCCUAAAACGUAGCAACAUCUACGAUGCUAGAUUAGCUUUCUCUAAUCCACCAUUGAAUUUAGGUUUGUAUGCACUUAGAUAUACAUGUCUAUAUAAAUAGCAAAAGCAACAUAUUUAGAAAAAGCCAAAACGUCUAAUAAUUUGGAACAAAGAGUAGUAUUAUUUUUCAUAUAGCCCAUGAAAUCCACUAUAAUAAAGAAUAUAUAUGUCAAAGCUGGCAUUGUUUAGUUCGUGAAGGAAAAUUUCGUGACACUGUAGCACUUUCGUUUGUUUGUGGUAAUUAUUGUCUAAUCAUGGACUAACUAGGCUCAAAAGAUUUGUCUCGUCAAUUUUAACCAAAUUGUGCAAUUAGUUUUUAUUUUCAUUUAUAUUUAAUAUUCCAUGUAUGCAUCUAAAGAUUCGAUGUGACGGAGAAUCUAGAAAAUUUUUUAGUUUUUGGGUGGAAGUAAACAGGGCCAAAGUCCAUUAUUUCAAGAAAAAAAAACUUUGUAUGCAACAUUCUAUCUUUUUAUAAGGAAAAAAGAAGUAGUACUAUACUGCAUCAAUUCUGUGCAGUCAGCAGUGUACUCGGCGUAGCGAACCGCUUGGUGGCCACACGUUGGGUGGAGGUGGCGGAGCGCGGUUGCAGGCCGUCAGAUCCGCAUCGGGCGGCGGAGGGAGCUAGUGGCGUGGGACGUGUAGUUCCGUGGCUGUGGGGGCGAGUCGCGUGGGCCCCACGCCCGCCCAGCCAACUGCAGCCGCACGCUGGCCUGGGAAGCCGCGCGCCGCGCGAGGUGAGGUGGCUCGCUGCGCGUGGACCCACUGGGCCCCAGAGCUGGUCCUCCUUUUUUUUCUUUUCUUCUCCGAGGCUUCCGUUCUCACCUGUUCCCCACGGAGGUACUCCCUACUUCCCAUAAAUAAAUAUAUUUUUUGAUCGGUACAAUUUAUAUUUGACUAUUUAUUUUAUUUAAAUCUUUUAUAUGCAAAUAAUAAAAUAAAUAAAUCAUUAUAAAAAUAUAUCUAAAAUAAAAUAAGUCAUAACAAAAUAAAUACUAAUUAUUAGAUAUUUUUAAAUAAAAUAAACGAUCAAAUAUGAAUCAUACAAGUUAAAUAAAUACGUUUAUUUAUGGGACGGAGCGCAAAACUGCACUCACUUCACUUGCAGCACCAACCGAUGGAUGGAUGAGCAGAGAUGAAGAACAACACACACGGUUGUGCUUUUACAAAAUAAUAAAAGUAUUUUGAAACAGGCUUCGAUCUUGCAUUUAACAUGUCCUAAAACAUAUUCCGUCUGCCCCUGAAUAAAUAGAUUUCUAGAAAAUUUAUGAUAGAUUAGUAUGAUGAAGAAAAAGACCAUACUACCAUUUAUUAAUUGGAGUAGUUUGCACACCUAUUCAAGUUGGGCAAUAAUUAUAGCAUUUACUAUAUCCAUCCAGUUGCAUAGACUCAGGACUUGUUUAGUUCGCGGAAAUUUUUAAAUUUAGCUACUGUAAUAUUUUUGUUUUAUUUGAUAAUUAGUGUCUAAUUAUAGACUAAUUAUGUUCAAAAGAUUCGUCUCGCAAAUCAAAUUAUGCGAUUAGUUAUUUUUAUAUCUAUAUUUAGUGCUUUAUACAUGUGUUUAAAGAUUCGAUAUGAUAGGAUGAAAAGAAAAUUUUUGGGAACUAAACAAAGCGUGGAAUUGGUAGAAAAGAGAGAAGUGAGGUGGUGCAGUAAAUAUGUGGAUACUUUGAGAAAAAUAAAUGAGCCACCCAUUAAUGUUCCUUAAGAUUGAUUUAUUGUACUAGACAAAUUAGUAUGCUAGGAAUCUAAUUAUUAAAAGAACAAUUUCCAACAUUUUCAUGGUUUGCAACGUGACAUUAACUUUGACAAUUUAUUGUUGGUCAAUUAGAUGACUUGCUCAAAAAUGUAUUCAAUCAUCAUGUCAUGUGAUUUAGUUUUGACUUAUAAUUGAACUCUGUGCCUAGACGUUGUGUUCCUAUUCACUUUGAGAUGGGUCUCCGCAAAUGCUCAACACUCCUUGUUUACUUCUCCAAAUAUUUUGCAAAAUGUUUUAGAUUUCACGUCACAUCGAAUCUUACGGCAUAUGCAUAAAAACAUUAAAUAUAGGUAAAAAGAAAACUAAUUACACAGUCUGCAUAUAAUUUGUGAGAUGAAUCUUUUGAGCCUAGUUAGCCUAUGAUCGGAUAAUAUUUAUCAAAUACAAACGAAAAUGCUACUGUUCACAUUUUGCUAAAAAUUUUGCAAGUAAACAAGGCCGGUAACUCGAAUAUGCACAAACAAGAGAGUGGCAAAUCAUAGAAACAGUCCGCUCCAAACUUAGACCCUGUUUGGUUCCUCUUGCUAAAUUUUAGUUAGCUAAACUUUAGUCACUUUAGUAGCUAAAGUUUUCAAACACAUUGACUAAAAGAAGCUAAAAUAGUUUAGUUCUAUUAAUCACCUAAGAGUAGCUAAAAUAAUUUUAGCUGGAACCAAACAUGCCUCAUCACCCUAGCUAACCUAUACAAGCACUAGAGAUUGGGUACACUGACUGUGAGCAUGUCGGACCACAAAAUCUUUCUCUCCGCUCAAUAUUAGGAACACAUAUAAAUGUACAUAAUAUUGAAGUACAAUGAUUUUCUUCUUCAUCCAUCUUGCAUUUACAAAAUUCGUUUUUAUAGAUGACAAACUUAGGCCCACAGCACGAGCCCAAGUAUGUCCUUCCAUUCCCUCGCACUCCUAUCCUUCUCAUUUUCACAUAUGGCAAACUUAGGCCUUGUUUACUUUCAAAAAAUUUUCAAGAUUUCCCAUUAGAUCAAAUCUUUCGGCACAUGCAUGAUGCAUUAAAUAUACAUGAAAAUAAAAACUAAUUGCAUAGUUCAUCUGUACAUUGUGAGACGAAUCUUUUAAGUAUAGUUACUCCAUAAUUGGACAAUGUUUGUCAAAUAAAAACGAAAGUGUUACAGUGUCGAAAAUCUAAAAAAAUUUGCGAACUAAACAAGGCCUUAGACUCAAGAUAUUCUUGAAAAAAAAAACUUAUACUCAAGGUGUUGUUGAAAAAAAUCCCCCUCCAAGGACUUUGUAUUUGAACUCACUUUUAAAUAUAAAUAUUUGAUUUUUUUUUUCUUUCAACUCAUCCGGUCUCCGUGCUCGUUAUCCGUUUGUUUUUUUUUCUAUUUUAGGAUUAGGAAGGUACUCCCUGUAUCUCAAUCAUUCUAAAAAUAUCUCAAGUUUAUAACUAAAUCUAUAUGAUCAGAUAAUACAAUUAUGAUGCUAACUAAAUAUCAUUAAAUUUUUCAUUAAUUAUAUUAUCAUAGUAUAUCCAUUUUAUGUUACAAAUUUUAGUAUUUCUCUAUAUAAUUUUGGUCAAACUUAAAAAGUGAUUUGACUCUCCAAGAUUCUUAAAAUGACUUAUAAGGCCUCAUUUGGUUUCUUCCGAUAAAGUUUAACUCCUGUCACAUGGAAUGUUUAGACACAUGUAUGAAGUAUUAAAUAUAAACUAUUUACGAAACUAAAGACACAGCUAAAGAGUAAUUUACGAGAUGAAUCUUUUAAGCAUAGUUAGUCUACGAUUGAAUACUACUUGUCAAAUAAAACAAAAAUUUUAUAGUAUAUAUUAAACAUUAACACCUUUAACCAAACAUCUUGAAUGGAGGGAGUAACUAUUUUGGGCGGUGGAAGAACCACGCAUGUGAAAAUGGGUGGCUACACAACAAGAACACCUUGAGCAAUGUCACAAGAACGUCACAGUCUCUCCAAUUAACGGCGUCCCAACCGCGGCACAGUGACAAUAUAUCUCAGACAGACACAGGAGAGAGAUGAGAUAGUUACAUGAGCAGCACAUCUAUCCAUGUCCAUCCAUAUCUAUCCAUCUAUAUAUUUGUCUAUCUCUAUCCAUCUGUCCUGGCCGGAGAUUUGGAUUUGUCUAGCUAGCUGACAUGAUUGAGCAAUCAGCAUGUAAUAGUAAUAUUAAUUAAUUAAUAAAUUAAUUAAUAACUAGCAAGUACUAGCAACAAUGGAGAUAAAAAUGGCGCAGCCACAAUCUUGUUAGAGAAAAUAGUAUAGCUAACUAAAGAUGACGAAUAAUUGCAAUAUAUAUAUAUAUUUAUAGAAGCAAACACUGACCCGAAAAAUAAAUAAAAGGACUCAGGAAAGAAAAAGAAAGAAAGAAAAGAAUAAAAGAUGCGGCGGGACGGGACGGGAGGAGGAGUUUGUGGCUGUGGAGUGAUGUGGGCCCCAUCAAUGGGGCCGGAGCCGGACGGUGUGGAGGCCACGUGAAGAGCGCGUGGACCGGAUUGCUCCCCCCGCCUUCCCAUGCCGGCCGCUUCGGCGGGCCAGCCCGCCAGACACAAACAGUCCCGAAAAAGAUUCACCACGGGCCUUGUUUAGUUCCAAAAUAUUUUACAAAAUGUGAAUAGUACCAAUUUCGUUUGUAUUUGAUAAAUAUUGUCUAAUCAUAGACUAACUAGACUCAAAAGAUUCGUCUCGUCAAUUCCGACCAAACUGUGUAAUUAGUUUUUAUUUUUUUUAUAUUUAAUACUUCAUGUAUACGUCUAAAGAUUCGCGCCGCUCGUUUGCUUCCGCUUCUUUCCUCAUCCUUGGCCUUGGACUCGACUUUGGACCAACGCUGACGCACAUGCUCUGAUGUAUACCCGCGGAGUACUAGGUAGAAAUAAAAUUUAAGGCCUUGUUUAGUUUAAUCCAAAAAUCAAAAACUUUUCAAAAUUUUUCAUUACAUCAAAUCUUACGGCACAUACAUAAAACAUUAAAUAAAUAAAAACUAACUGUACAGUUUACUUAUAAAUCGCGAGAUAAAUCUUUUAAGUCUAGUUACUCCAUGAUUGGACAAUGUCUGUCAAAUAAAAACGAAAAUGCUACAGUCCCGAAAACCAAAAAGUUUUUGGAGCUAAACAAGGCCUUCCUACAAUUUUUGGGUUUUGGGUACGGUAGCAUUUUCAUUUUUAUUUGGCAAAUAUUGUCUAAUCAUGGACUAACUAGGUUCAAAAGAUUUAUCUCACGAUUUACAGGCAAACUGUGCAAUUAGUUUUUGUUUUUUUUUGUUUAUAUUUAGUGCUCUAUGCAUGUGUCGCAAGAUUUGAUGUCACCAGAAAUCUUGAAAAGUUUUUGGUUUUUGGGGUGAACUAAACAAGGCCUAAAUAAAAUGCAGAGCAAAGAGAUUAUUUUAUGGUUAAAACAAAAAGACAAAACUGUUGUUACCGAUAGCAAAACCACCAUUCACUACAGAAAAACCGUCCUCAAAACCGCUCUAGCGAGGUAAAAUACACGGUUUAAAAAGUUGAUGGAGAUGAUUUAUCCAAUUUUAGAGUUGAGCGAGGAAACAUAGAUUUUCAUAAAAAAAAACGGAGUAGACUUUUUAUUACGAAACAAAAUGAAGCAGUUCUGGGCCCACCUUACCGGUAGAGCCCAACACAUCGAGCAGCCCAUCAAGCGAACAAACAGCGGGCCAGCUACCCUGGCUGGCUGUGGCUGUGGGCCGGUUUCUGCGAGUGUGCGUGCGGCCUGCAGAGCGUCUGACCCACAUCCACACCCCGCAUGCCGGGCCGGGCCAUUAUCUCGUCUCAUCCAGAUUCUCCGGGAAAAAGUCUACUUUAGGUCUUCAACUUUCUCGAAAGUCUGAUUUUCAUCUCUGAACUCUAAAACCAGACAAAAUACAUCCCUCAACUUUUAAAAUCGUGCACAUUAUAUCCUUGACCUGGUUUUGAAAGCGGUUUUACCUUUUUAUUUUUAUUUAUUUUGGCUUAUUUUUUUGAAAAAUAACAGUAAAUCACAUAAAAAUCAUAAAAUAGAAAACUCAAUUUUGUUGGACUUUAGAUCAAUAGAUCUACACAUUGAAUAUAUAAUAUAGUAUAUUCUAGUACAAUUUUUUUGAUACAUCUUUAGAUCUAUGUUUUUCUAUAAUUAAUUAGACUAAUUAUAACUACAUUUUCUAUGGUCUAAUUGUGACGAAAUUUAUAUGGUGAGCUAAUUAUUCUAUGUUUGAGUUAUAGUAAAAAUUUUAUACUCAUUUCAUCACGUAUUACUUAGUUAUAGAUUUAUUUAGGUUUAUGCUUGUUAAAUUAUAAUAAAUCUAUAACUAAGUUAUACAUGAUCGAAUGAGUAUGAAAUUUUUACCAUAGUUUAAACAUAUAAUAAUUAGUCUAACAUAAAAAAUUCACCACAAUUGCACCAUACAAACUAUAGCUAUGAAUUAUUCUAAUUAAUUAUAGAAAAACACAAAUAUAAAGCUACAAUAAAAAUUUUGUACUAAAGCAUACUAUAUUAUAUGUUCACUAUGUAGAUCUACUCAUGUGGAGUCCAACAAAAUCAGAAUUACUAUUUUAUGAAUUUUAUGUGAUUUACUAUAAUUUUACAAAUAUUCAGCCAAAAUAAAUGAAAAUAAAAAAGACAAAACUGCCUUCGAAACCGCUCAUAACUAUGUCAGGGACGUAAUAUGCAUGGUUUUAAAAAUUGAGGGGUGUAUUUUAUCCGAUUUUAAAGUUCAGGGAUGAAAAGCAGACUUUUGCGAAAGUUGAGGGACUAAAAGUGGAUAUGUUGAGUCAGACGAAGAAGAAGACUAUUUUAGGUCUCUCAAUUUUCGUGAAAGUCUUCUUUUCAUCCUUGAACUUCAAAAUCGGGUAAAAUAUAUCCCUCAACUUUUGAAACCGUACAUAUUACAUCCCUAACAUGGUUAUGAGUGGUUUUGGAAGGCAGUUUUUUUUUAUUUUUAUUUAUUUUGGCUGAAUAUUUGUAAAAUUAUAGUAAAUCACAUAAAAUUCAUAAAAUAGUAAAUCUGAUUUUGUUGGACUCUAAAUAAGUAGAUUUACACAGUGAACAUAUAAUAUGGUAUGCUUUAGUAUAAAAUUUUUGUUGUAGUUUUAGAUAUAUGUUUUUCUAUAAUUAAUUAGAAUAAUUCAUAGCUAUAAUUUGUAUGGUCCAACUAUGGUUAAUUUUUUAUGUUGAGCUAAUUAUUAUAUGUUUAAACUGUCUUAUUAGAUCUUGUAUAACUCAGCCAUAGAUUUAUUAAGAUUUAACAAGCAUAAAUCUAAAUAAAUCUAUAACUAAGUAAUACAUGAUCCAAUGAGUAUGCAAUUUUUACUACAACUCAAGCAUAGAAUAAUUAGCCCACUAUAUAAAUUUUAUCACAAUUAGACCAUAAAAACUGUAACUAUAAUUAGUCUAAUUAACUACAGAAAAUCAUAGAUCUAAAGCUGCAUCAAGACAAUUAUAAUAAAAUAUACUAUAUUAUAUAUUCAAUGUAAUACAUCAGAUCAGAUUUUUCUUUGUUAGUUCUCUUGAAUCUUCAUCUCUCUUGAUGUCUUUUUACACACUAUUAAUUCCUGUAAACAUUGGAUGCCUCACUGGAGUGUUUAUGGGCCGGGUUUUGCCUCUAGAAUAUUAGACACGUUCAAGCAUCGAUAUUUGAUCGGGUUCAGUUGGGCAAAAAAAAAAAAGGACUGGCAUCAAAUCAGAAUUUUGACAUGUGCCAACACAGUUAGGGGAAUGUUAGGUCGGUUUGGGUUGGAUUUUUUCCCAUUUUGUGUAAAAAAAUUAUGCCCCCCCCCUCCCCCCCCCCCCUAAAAGGAACCCGAGAGGCUGACCCAAGAGGAGGAUGGCUGAAUUGGGUCACUGGCGCCAUAAACCUAGCGAUCUCUACUUUAUUUCACAUUGAGCCUAGCUAUGUUUAUGUGAUUAAACAUAUAAGCAAAAUUUUGGACAAUUACUUAGAACUAGUGACCUCAAAAUGGGGAAGUAGGAGCUGCAAAUAUCGCAUAUAAAGGAGUAUUUUUUCGAAAAGGUUAUCAUAAGAAUAUAAUUCUCAAACAGAAGUGUUAAAUAUAUUGUGAUAACAAAGUAUAAUUACAAUGUGUGUGCCACCUGAUUGUCACAAAGGAAAAUUAUGAUGAGUUACAGUUUGCUUGCCAUAUAAACUAUAUUCAUCUGGCACCUCAUUAUUGUAUGAACCUGAAGAAUGAAUUCAAGUCUUCAAGAAAUCAUUCCUAAGAUUCAACUAUAUAUAUAUAUAUAUACUCCAUACUUCAGUCAUAGAUUGCUAUAUAUAUAUAUGUGCUCACUAGUAACUACUGCAUGUGAUGUGAGUUAGCACUUGAUAUUAUAAUUAGCUAGAACUUUCAAAUUAUUCUAAUUAGUAAGAGCUGCUAGCUAGCUCCCGGAUGAGAUACACAUCUACUACCGGAAGGCUGCAGGGCCUCCAAACGGUGUCCAGAAAUCGAGAGGCGUCUCGCUGGCCACCGCGAAGGUGCUCGAUAUCGGGACUAGGCACAGCCCUCGGCCGGUGAGUUCUCCGUUUGCCGCCGCCGCCUCACCUCCAUCCCUCAAGACCUGGACGUACGCAUCAUCAGGAAGCCAUUGUACAUAGGUGUUAGGUCAAGUAUGCAGCUAGCAUGAGUCUAUCUGAGAUGAGCCCUGCAGGGUAUACAGCAGCACUGAAAAUACUACUGUAGCAGUACCUUGUGAUGGGGCACUUGCUGCCUGUUCUUUAGGUAAGGAGCACUGAGAGACUGCAUAUAUACAAAAGCGUCCAUUCAAUUUUGAGUAAAAUGCGAGCUGGUAGAUCAAAAUUUCUACAUAUUUAUGAUUAAAGCCUUUAAAGGACCAGAGAGCUGCAGCAGCUAGAUCAAUCGCACUUACACCAACUUGCUCAUGCAGGAAUUUGAUGUACUCGAUGGUCUCGUGGAGCACCGAUGCCGUAUCCGUCUGAACGUGCAGCAGCAGCACGCACGCCGAGGUUGAUCGAUCAUUUGUUUUUGGCAAAGAGAAUUUCAUUUGUUAAAAGGUGUGGGCCUUUUGCAACGAGACUUAUUGGGGUAUUAAUUGGACUCUGAAGUUUUCAGCUUCCAGAAUAAUACGUAGUGCGUGGAAGUGCAGGACCAUUAACCAAAUUAAGACCAUGGAUCGCUUACCUUUCCAAAAGGGGAGACUAGUUGCUGAAGUGCUGUGAUUCUGUCACCAAGCUUCUCUUUCCUCACCUGAAGCAUAUAUAAAACCCAAGUGGAGUAUACAUGAAUGAGUGUAUAUAGUACAGAAACUUUAUGAAAGCAAAAUUGUAUGUGGCCAUUCCAUUAUUUCCAUAUAGUUAGUCUUGGAACAACAUCAACUUUAAGGAAAACAGUUCAACUCAACAACAAAUCGGGGUGUUAGUUUUCCAUGGUGAAAUAGGAUCUAAACUAAUUGUCGUUGCUAGUAUGUAUACCUUGAAGGUAGGCAAUGGUGAUGGUGUCCCUGUUCUCGAUUUCUUGAGUGGUGGCGGCGUUGGAGCGGUGUUCGUCCUCUUUGCAAUGAUAUUGCUAGAGUCUCCGGCACCUUCGUCUAAUGCACUCUACAUGCAUAGAAGAACAAACUAAAUUAAUUAAGGUUACAGGCUGAAUCGGGACAGAUCGCGGUAGGCACAGCACAACGGCGCAAAACAUUCAGGCCACUGAAAAUUAUCAAACAAAGCUGUGUGGCAUGCAGUGAUUGAAGGUAACAAAGAAGUUUUCAGGCAACUGAAAAAUUAGCAAAACUGUAACUAUAUAUACUCGAAUCGAACCUUGACUCCAAAAUUUGCCGGCCUAGAUUUCCCUGACGGUGGUAAUAAGCUUGUGGCCCCCUCCGCCGCCGAAGCAAAGCUGCCGGCAGAAGGGUUCCAAAACGGCGUACUAUUGCUGAACUGCAGAGCCUCCCUGAUGCUUCCAGCUGGCACUUGGUUCAUCGUCUGCUGCUGGUGGUACUGCUGCAUGAAGCCCGGCGAGGAAGUCUUGGCUGCUGCCGCCGAUGGCUCCGUGAGGCUUCUGAGCAGUGAGGAGGUCCGGAACCCGCCGGAAGAAGAAGUCGGCGACGAGAGCAGCUCCAGCCCAAGGUUGGACAGGAACUGUUGGUUGGGAUCAUGGGCGUCCUGUAGCAUCAAGCUGUUGUUGUGAUUCGAUGAUGGGCUCCUCAGACCUACGUGAUGAGCCUGGUCGCUUCUUGGGCUCAUGUAGCCAUGGAAAUUACCAGCUACAGAUCCAUCCCUAAGAUGGUCAUGGUCAAGCAUAGAUACAUAUGAUCAUGAAUAAACUUUCAAGAAGAGCACCAAUAUAUAAUUUCUGGAGGAAUUAACUAAACAAACAAAAGAUCAGAGAGAAGAAGCAAAUUGAAGUUGGUGAGACUUACAAGUAGUAAGAAGGCUGGUUCCAGCAGCUGGCGGUGAGACCACCAGACACCGCGGGGUGCGACGGCACGGCGACCACGCCGUGAUCGGCGACGGCGCCUGCGUUGUCUUGGAAGGUUAUGGAGCUGCCGCCGGUGGCGAGCGAGUGGUUGGACCCGGGAGACUCCGAGGAGGCCGCCGCGUUGCCGGACCUCGACUUGUUGUUGCCUUCAGCAGACGACCAGCCGGCGGCGCCAAACCCAGCAGAUAGCUGAUCCGGCGAGCACGACACCGCCGUGGUCCACCAAUCGCCGCCGUGCCCGUGACCCGUGCUGCCUGUAGUGGCAGCCGCCGGUGGAUGGAUCAUCUCCUGGUGAUCUGCCAUAUCUGUCUAUAUCUAUCUAUCUACGACAGAUACAUGCAUGGGCGGGGUCCGAUCUGUUAAUAUAUGGGAUCGAUCGAGAUCUUGAUUCGGCUAAAUUCUUGGCAGUUUAGUUAGGUAUGUAGCUAAGCUAGAGAGGUAUGGUAGAUAGCUGUGGGAGAGAGAGAGAGAGAGAGAGAGAGAGAGGGGCGGCCGGGCAUGCGAUGGAAGAGUAGUGGCGAGUAAUGAGUGUGGCGUGUGGUAGUGCGCGGCUAAUAGCUGAGCUAGCUCUCUAGCUAUAUGUGUCAGUGUGUGGUGUGGGACUGUGGGUUAUGUGGUGGACGACGACUACUGUCUGGUGGGCAAGUAGGAUGUGAAGUUUAAUCGAAUGGAUUAUAUAUAUAUAUAUAUAGAGAGAGAGCAGAAGUGGAUCAGAGUGCAACGAAAUGGUGGCGCGACAUGAGUGGUUUUAUAUAAACUGCCGUCGGGCCGAGGAAUUAAAGUGGAAGACGUACGACGAAGACGACGACGAAAAGGAGGAAGAAGAGAAUUUAGGUUUUCUGACCGGCCGGCUAGCAGGAAGAGAGAAUGAAAAGGUUAUAUAUUUUAGGUGGCCAGGUCGUCCACGGUCUGAGACGGCGACGCCAUUAUCGUAUGCUAUUUGGCGCAGCUGGUUAAUGAUUACCUGCUCAUCUUGAUCUCUCAACAUGCUGUCAUCAUACAUAUAUAUAUACCUGGUUAGCUGGUCUACAUUCGAGGAUCCACGCGUGCAUGUGCCAUAUGUAUAUGUAUGUAUAGAAGCAUACAACAAGUACGUCCCCUGUAUGAACAUGGACACACACGCUGCUCUCCUGUAUAUAUGUACUCUUCAAAAUGCAUUUAUCAUUUUAUCUAGCUAUAAAAUAGUACUCUGCAAUUCUGCAUGCUUUUCUAUUAUAUUAAUUAGAUUCUUUGGACGCUAAAUCGAACAUGUCCCCCAUUAGAGGAGGUAGUAGUAUCACACCUAACGCUAGUAGUUGUUUAUAUAUGUGUGCUGUGGUGUGUGGUCCUCUCUAAUCUAAUCUGAGAGGUGUAACCCUACUUAGCUUAUUGCCCUCAGAGACAUGUUUUAAUCCUACUCCCUAUGCAAUAUGUAUAUAUGCUCAAAAAAAUAUGCAAUAUGUAUAUGGAAUCAGUUAGUUGCACAUACUCAUCCUCUCCUACUAGCUAAUGCUCAAUACUCUUCUCCUACUAGCUAAUGCUGCAUCGAUACAUCUCUCGAGCCCAGACAUGGUGUUAACUUAUUUCUGGAACAAUUAAUGAUAGAUCGAACUGCCGCCUAUCAUAAACUUGAUCAAGAUAACCCUGGCAGACGCACAAUUUCCUUUUUCAAGAAAGUAUAAGCACCGUAGAAAAUCAAGGUGCUCGAGGGAAUCAAGAUCAUGCUUACAGGCGGCACGUCAUCUGGAUUCACACCUCAAGAGUUUCUAUGCUGCUCUUCCAGUGUUAGGUUUAUUUAGUCCUACAUCGAAAAUUGAUGGUGAAGAAUCCCAACAUAUAAGAUGAAAAUAACUCUUAUCUAUCAAACUAGUCUUUUAGGUUGAGUUAAAACCAAUGUCUUAAUAUGUCAUUGUGGACUCUGAGACUAGUAUAUGAGAUACUCUCUAUCAAUAUGUUUGUAAGGAUACUAGUAUAUGAGAUACUCUCUAUCAAUAACCGACAGAUGUUGGCUCUUCAGUAGAAAAACAAUGUUCGUUUACAACUUGACUUUACUACAUAGCCAAGCACUUAACUCUAUUAUUGGAUUUGUUCUAACAUGGGAUAUAUAUAGCCAAGCCUAGCUAGUUGCUUCAAUCAAGUAGAUCAGUCUAGUUAUUAUGAUCCUUGUUGCUUUUCUUCAUGCUUCUAGGUCCCAAAACUUUAUUUCCAUUAUCAUUAUGAAAAAAAUAACCACCAUAGAAGAUAUGUGCUCCAUCGAUGUGAAUGAUCAAAGGUGUGAUCAGCAUUUUAGAACAAGUAUUCACAAAGAUAAACCUCGAAAAAAUAUUGACCUCGCAUCCUCUUGGCAAAGCAUUGAUCCCCAUAUAUAACAUCCAAGAAACACAGACGCACCACAUACAACUAUCAAUGUCAAUGACAAAUGGAUAGGAAAAUAUGGAGAUUGAUGAAUUAAGUCAUGACAUAUUUAUAUAUCAUUGUCGACGAGCAUAUCAUUUGCCACUAACAAAUGGAUAGGAAAAUAUGGAGAUUGACGAAUUAAGUCACCACAUAUUUAUAUGUCAUUGUUGACGAGUAUAUCAUUUGCCACUAGAAAAUAUAGGAAGAGAAAAAGGUGGGACAUGGUUAAAAAAUAGUAUCUCAUAAAAUUGACGAAUUAAGUCACCACAUAUUUAUAUGUCAUUGUUGCCGAGCAUAUCAUUUGCCACUAGAAAAUAUAGGAAAAGAAAAAUGUGGGACAUUGUUAAAAAAAUAGUAUCACAUAAUAAAAAAAACCUUUUGUAGACAAAUAUAAGACAAUUGUGGUAUAACUUGGCUCUAAUGGGUUCUAGUCAAGCCUAACUAUGCUCUCCAUCGGGGUGAAUGUAAUACUUCAAUCAAGGUCCGCAUUUUGAGAAUGAGUAGUACUCAUAGAAAUAAACCUCCAAAAUAUAUUGCAUUGGCUUUGCAUCAACAUCAAUGAACAACAAAAACAUGUUAGCACUAGAAUCCUUUCUCUUAGCAAAGCAGUGAGUGUCAUAGCACCCAAGCAACACAAACACACCAUAUACACCUAUUAACUCCAAUGACAAAUGGACAUGAAAAUAUGGAGAUUUACAAAGUCAUCACAGAUGUAUAUAUCAUUGUCGAUGAGCAUAUCAUUUGUCAUUGAAAAAUAUGGCCACAUUAACAAGGCAUCAAACAUAUACAUAGUUUUACACCAACCAUCUUUAGUAAACCAUCUACGAUAGGAGUAGGGGCAAAAUUCAAUUGCCCACAAGUUCAGUACUACCUCAUCCAUAUCUCCAUGCAUGAGUCAAGACUUCAUAUUUGUCCUCAUCAAUCAACAUGUGCCAGUGACACAAUGCUAAACCCUGGCUACCUUCAUCCCUCCACCUCAUCUAUAACCAUCUAUAUUAUGCACACAUCACUCAUAUGUUUCCCACCAGCCAAAGUUGUUCUUUUGUAGUCCAUCCUUGUGACUUAAAGGAGACCAUGAAAAAAUAUGUUGUAGAUUGUCCUUUUAAAGUUUGCAUAUUAUUUUCACUUUUGAAUUAUGUUGUUGGGACUAUACAAUGUGUUCACUAGUACUUAGACUAUACAAUGUGCUCACUAGUGUUCCAUGCCUCUGUGUUUGAGUUCACAAGUUAGAAAACGCACAUAUCAAUCGCUAAUAGAUAAGACAUUAUGGGGUAUGCUCAAACAUUUGUAGAUGUAGGUCUGCAACUGACUCUAAAAAUUUACUUUUAAGGGAAGUUAAAUAUUUUGCACCACCCCUGAAAAUUGAUUUCUAUAGACAGUUGCUUAGAAACACCAACCACCCCUAGGAAUUAAUUUUUAAAAAAAUAAAAACUGAUCAUAAAAAGUGGCAAAAAAUAGAGUCGGGAUAAGCCUACUAGCAACACACUGCGUGUGUGUCGCUAAUCGUAGUUCACACAAAAUAUGCAUGCAUGUGUGGUCCCAGAGAUGGCCUCACUAUCCCUCCCUACCACCACACUCAUACUCACUUUUGGCUACAUAUAGGAUGUUUUAGCCUUUUUGUCUUAACUUCUAUGGAUCUUUUAUUAAAAAUUUGGAAUCUAAACAAUCUCAAAUAGAAGAAAUUUAUAGUUUAACUACAUAGUUUAAAAUCUCAUCAAGCAAUACAACUUCAGUAUAGGGCAUCACUCCAUCUGAGGUCAUUUGAAAGUUUAAAAUAAUGGAUUUGAAAAUCUCAUAACUCUUGAAACUUAUAUUUGGGGCUCUAAAGAUUUCAAAUAAAAAAGUUGAAAGUUUAUAGAUCUAAUUUUAAUACGAGUUUGUCUUCAUCUAGCUUUACUUAGCAUCAUUACUUUAUAAUUUUGAUAAUUUUUUUAUGUUGCACUUAUUUAUUAUGGUGGUCAUAUUACUAACCAUGGUUGAAUCAAUUUCUAUCCAUGCUUAGUGCUUCUGACUGUCCCUACAAAUGUAUCUAUCUCUAGGACGAUCUGUAACACUAACCGCACGUAGAAAUAUUAUUACGGGCGAUUGGUAACAUCAACUGUCUGUAGAAGUUGAUUCACAAGUUAGUCUCUGAAAAUAGUGAAUAAUAAUGCCUUCAUAUUCAUUUGUUUAUAUACCGUCAGUACUGUAGUAUACUUCCUUCAUAUUCUUCAUCCUAAAUUAACUGUCAUUUUUUUUUCGUUUCAAUACCAUAAAUUUUAUUUGAUUUGUAGAAAAUAUAUACAAUAUUUGUAUCUCUAAAUAAAUUUAAUUAAAAAUUAAAUAUAUAUUUAGUUAAAGUUAUUUUACGGAAAGUGAAAAACGACGGUUAUUCAUCGGAGAGACAGGUGCUGGAAGCUGUGCUCUUCACUCUGCCGGGGAGUAUACGUACAGGCCGUACUCCAGAGAAUUCGGCGGUGUUGACGUCACGCUGACGGCCGGCCAAGGUGGGCGAAGCGUCGCGUCACGGCCGCGGGCCCCGUCCAGGAGGUCGUCGCACGCACGCGUGCCCGCGGAAAUUAAAGCAGCAGCGCACUCACUCACGCGCACGCGUGCUACACGUACGCACGGCAGGGGCCAUCGCACACCUGCCGCUGACUCCUCUGCGUGCGCCAAUACAUAAGGCCUUGUUUAGUUCACUCUGAAAACCAAAAAAUUUUCAAGAUUCUCCAUCACAUCGAAUCUUUCGACACAUGCAUGAAACAUUAAAUAUAGACGAAAAUAAAAAAUAAUUGCACAGUUUACCUGUAAAUCACGAGACGGAUCUUUUGAUCCUAGUUAGUCCAUAAUUAGACAAUAUUUACCACAAACAAACGAAAAUGCUACAAUAUCGAAAUCCGAAAACUUUUCGGAACUAAACAAGGCCUAAGAUGAACCCUGGCUGACACGUCCACACGAUCGAACAAAGCUGUGACAGAGCUCGUCGUAGAUUUUUAGGCUAUAUAGCUGCAAACGGUGAGUUGCUACCAGCUACUAUACUAGACAACACAAUUAUAAACAAACUAGUUAUAUCACAUGAAAAUCUCACUAGAGAACUUUUUUUUUUAAAAAAAUAUAUCCAAUUGCCGGCUUUGAUUAAUAUAAUAAGAAAGGGAGCAAAACCUCAUAUGUUACAAGCACGAGCAAAACUCCCAGCAUGGCCUAGGCUGUAGGGGGGGGGGGGGAGGGGGGGCUCCUGAUGAUCAUUGGAACUUGGCCCUUGUUUGUUAGAUGCUGCACUCGAUCUGUUUUAUUAUUAGUUUUCCUCAAUUUUUACUAGCAAUGUUCUUUAUGUAGUUACAUAGUUAAGUAAAGCAAAAGAUUGUUCUUCAUUAGCACAAAUCUUUACUGUAAAAAAAACGGAUGGUUCAAUGCAAUGAAAUUAGAAAUAAACGUGCCCCUUAUAUGCUUAAAGGCACUGUGCUAGCUCGACUGUUGUGUUUUCGACGACCACGUGUUUUAUCUAAGAGCUUAUUUGAACGCACUCAUAUUCAUUUAAUCCUUGUGUUUCAAAGUGGAUUGAGGUAGGUAUUGGUUGAUUUUUCAGGCCUUGUUUAGUUUCCAAAAAAAUUUGUAAAAAAGUUCAGAUUCCACGUCACAUCGAAUCUUAUGGCGCAUGCUUGAAGCAUUAAAUAUAGAUAAAAAAUAAUAGUUAAUUGCAUAGUUUAUGUAAUAUGCGAGAUGAAUUUUUUGAGCCUAGUUAGUCGAUUAAACAAUAUUUGUUAAAUACAAACGAAAGUGUUAUAGUGUCCAUUUUAUAAAAUUUUUUGAAACUAAACAAGACCUCACUCUAAUUCACUUUAAUACAUAUGGAUUAAGGUGAAUACGAGUGCAGCUACAUGAGGUCAUCUAGUUGAGUCGUUGUUGGUGUUAACAUCAUAUUACUCUAGCUAGCUAGGGCAUGCAGUGUUGAUUGUUAGUAGAAGCCAAGGCCUUGUUUACUUGGGAAUUUUUUUGCAAAAUUGCUACAGUAACUCUUUUGUUUGUAUGUGACAAAUAUUAUCAAACAUAGACUAACUAGGCUCAAAAGAUUUGUCUCGUAACUUUCGACCAAACUGUACAAUUAGUUUUUAUUUUCAUCUAUAUUUAAUACUCCAUGCAUGUGUCUAAAGAUUCGAUGUGACGGAAAAUCUUGAAAAAUUUUGCGUUUUGGGUUGGAAGUAAACAAGGCCCAAGCAUGUUUGGCAUCAAAACGUGCAGUCCUCAUCUGUAGGUCCAUCAGUGUUGACACGGUGCAGUGCAAUCAUAUCUAGUACUAGCUAGAGUGUUAGGCCAUGUUUAGUUCACCCCGAAAUCCAAAAAGUUGUCAAGAUUCUCUGUCACAUCGAAUCUUGCGGCACAUGCAUGAAGCAUUAAAUAUAGACGAAAACAAAAACUAAUCAUACAAUUUGACUGUAAAUCACGAGACGAAUCUUUUGACUCUAGUUAGUCUAUGAUUGGACAAUAUUUACCACAAACAAACGAAAGUGCUACAGUUGCGAAAACUUUUCAGUUUUCGGAACUAAACAAGGCCUUAGCAGGGCUGUGACUUGGCUGGUCAUUAUUGUCCCGUGGACUAUCAACAUUGGUCAGCACGCGUAUCCAACUUUUGGAUUCAUCACCUUUUGCUUCCGCUUCUUCUGUGUUUCAUUUCAUCAUGACACCUCUGCUCAGCUCGAUGGAUUGAAAUCGGAUGGAAGAAACGUUGACUUUGCUGAUUCCUUUUUGGACUCUACUAGUAGUGCUAUCAAUCCCGUGGGAGUAGUAGUGAAGUCAACGCUUGGUGAGAAGUCAACUUCUCGAAGUUUCUUGUAGUAAGAGCAUGGCACGUGGAGGGUAAGGAAAUCAGUCGUUUGCAGUCGUCUUCAGAUAUUUUUCUUGUUCGUCAAAUGUGACGGCAAAAGGAAGGAAUCCCAAUUGCAAUCUUCUCUAGAUCCAUUUUUUCUUUUGUUCCUUGCAUGUGGAGGCACGGAUGGGGAGAGGUCUCUAGUUAAAACUAGUGGCAGGUGCGCGCCUUCGCGCGCAUAUAUGGCCGUGUCGACGAAAGCUAGUCGGCAGUCUACCUUGGGGUAUACCCACGGUAGUAGUUUAUCGGUAGACGGUGCGCAAACUACGAACUCGAUGGUGACGCAAGACACGGACAAGCUUUUUAUCCAGGUUCGGCCGCCGAGUUGGCGUAAUACCUACGUCCUGCGUCUGGUUGUAUUGAUUUGUGUUGAGAGAAUAUCUUGUCCUAGGGGGGUCCCUUGCCCCUCCUUAUAUAGUCUGGAGGGCAGGGUUACAGAUCUAGAAACUAAUCCUAGUCGGUUACAAUUGCCAUGGAUAAUUCGAUAUCAAUUCCUAUUCUAACCGACUAGAGUCCUGCUUGAUCUCCACAUCUUGUUUCCUUGCGCAGAACUCCAAGCUGUCGAAUCAAGCCUUGAACUCGUCUCGUAAUGGGCCAAACCUCCUGGCCCAAGUCUAGCCGCAAGGGUAUAGGGGUUUAUACCCCCACAGCUAGUCCCCGAGCGCCAUGUAUUGUGAUGCAACACGCCAUCUUGAGCUUCUUCGAUCAGCGAGGCUUGUCGUCUUCAAUAAGCGGGAAAAUCGCCCAAACAGUUGCAACGGUUCCUUGACCAACUCGAAAGACAGUUGAUCAACAUUGACAUCGAAGAAGCAGGUUGUUCGAAGAAUGCAUGGUGCUCUAAAAAAAUUUCUUUCCUGGUGAAGUGUGCCCACUUUACCUUUUUGAAAGGUAGAAGCAUCAAAAAAGCAAGCAAAUUCACCGCUAGGUGAAGUGUGCCCACUUAGUCCCCGAGCCUGGUAGUAGGUGGCGUAGACACGUGGUGCCAGGGUCAAAAGAAAAUUCCCCAAAGUAGUUUUGAGUCUGAGAUGCAUCGCUAGAUGCAUCGUACCGAUGUAGUCCCCCGAGCUUGCUAGAAGGCGAAGUAUGAACCUUGUAGCAAGGUCUAAAAAAUUGAAUUUACCAGUCCCCGAGCAUAUCAUGCUCGUCUGCAAUUGAAAAGACCAAUCGACCAGUCCCCAAGCACUUAGUGUGCUUCUUGGAAUUAUACUGUACGACCAGUCCCCGAGCGUCGAGUUCUCAGUGGUCGGUGCAUGCUUUAAAACUUUGAGCUGAUAGACUGAGCGACCAGUCCCCGAGCGUCGAGUGCUCGGUGGUCGGUGCAGUCCUUGAAGGUCUGAGCUGAUAGACUGGGCGACCAGUCCACGAGCGUCGAGUGCUCGGUGGUCGGUGCAGUUCUUGAAGUUCCGAGCUGAUAGACCGGGCGACCAGUCACCGAGCGUCGAGUGCUCGGUGGUCGGUGCAGUUCUAAAAGUUCCGAGCUGAUAGACUGGGCGACCAGUCCCCGAGCGUCGAGUGCUCGGUGGUCGAUGCAGUCCUUGAAGUUCCGAGCUGAUAGACUGGGCGACCAGUCCCCGAGCGUCGAGUCCUCGGUGGUCGGUGCAGUCCCCGGAGUUCCGAGCUGAUAGACUGGGCGACCAGUCCCCGAGCGUCGAGUCCUCGGUGGUCGGUGCAGUCCCCGGAUUGCUGACUCACUGGCAUAUGUGUCUUCUUACUUUUGAAAAGAUCUUUCCAAUUAAAGUUGACGUGACGGGGUCUCCUGACGAUAUGUCAGACGGAUGCAUGAAAAGUUGCACCUGGCAACUGUACAACCGCUCUUUGCAUGGUUUGAGAAAAGGAAACCAUUAAUUGGUACGAAAACUCCGCCACAUUAAUUGUCUAUAAUCAUUGUAAACCGAAACGCCGCGUCCGCCGCAUGGCCUGCCCACUUCCCGAGAAUACAGGAAGUGGGAGAGGUGGGGUCGCAGGUUUGUAAGGGCCUAAUAGGUCUGCCUGUACUGCUUCGCCUGCCAUUGCCUUCAAACCUUCCGCUCUCAUCUUCUCCAAUCUCCUGCAUCUUCCUAACUCCAGCCCACAUUCGCACCUCUAAUGGCGAAGAGCGACUCCAGGAAGAGGGCCGAACUGAUGGCCAAGGAGUGGAAGAAGUCCCGCAGCACCACAAAAUCUCUUGGUGACCUCGUCGAUAUGGGGCUUCUGCACGGCGCAGAGCUCGGCGGCUGGAGGGCACCGGAGGGGGAGAGCUACCCCGACCCUCGCGCCGGUGAGAUCGUCGUUUUUGAAGAUUUCGUUAAGAGAGGCUUUGGUGUUCCUGUUCAUCCUUUUCUCCAAGGUCUUCUUUUGUACUAUGAGAUCGGGAUUUGCAAUCUGCACCCGAACUCAAUUCUCCUUAUUUCCACCUUCAUCCACCUGUGCGAGGCCUAUGUUGGCAUAGAGCCGCACUUUGAUCUUUUCCGGUAUCUUUUCUGCUUGAGGAAGAAGGGAGCAGUUGGAGGCUCCAAGGUUGCAGGUGGAGUAUACCUCAACCUUCGUGAUGGGAUGAAGAAUCGCUACCUGCACUGCCCAUGGAACACUUCCUUGACCGAAUGGUACAGGAAGUGGUUCUACAUCAGGGAGGAACCGGGCAGCUCCACGUUCUGUGACGUGGGAUACAUUCCCGAGAAGAGGACGAGCUGGACCGACCGACCGGAGUUCGACGGUCCAGUGGCGGAUCUCAUGAAGCUGAUCGACUGGUCGCGCCUGGACGGGCUUGGCAUGGUCGGCAACUUCAUUUGCCGCCGGGUGAUGCCCUGCCAGAAGAGGGUACACUCGGCGUACGAGUAUGCCGGAAGCGCAGCGCAGACCCGACCAGGAUGCGGUCGGAGAUCUUGGACUAAGCGGAGGUACAACAGCUGUUGAACGAGCUGUUUAACUUCGCGGAUGGGGGCUUCAUCCGUGGCAGUGAUCGGGUGCAAGCCUUCAAGUUAGGACGACCAGCACCAAAGGUAUGUAGCAGAUUCGAGUUUGAUUAUUCGUAUAUCGUCUGCAGUUGACUCAUUUCUGUUGCUUUUGCAGGUCGGUGAUGUCGACCGGUGCGCAGUGUAUGUAUCACUGGCACCGGGGAUGGAAAAUCCGGUGGGAGAGGUCCCGCCAGAGGAGGACGCUGCUCGGUGUACUCAUUACACCAGUAGUGAGGAAGACCGAGCCCGCCCCGUCCCGACCUCCGAGGAGAGGGUAGCAGGGAAAAGGCCAUUGCCGGCAGAUCCCUUGUCGACACCGGAGCUGCCGGCAGAUCUCCCGGCGGAGAGCAGCCAAGCACCGAAGCGUCGUCGGCUCGUGCGGAUCGUCGAUGACGACGACGACGAGGAGGCAGCGCCGUCGUUGGUCCGACGGCCUCGGAGCCGCCCAGACACUGCGCCGGUCGCCACUGAUCGAGUGGCCAGCGGCGCCGCUGCCCCGCAAGUUGCCGAGACGGGGGCACAGGUGCCGACCGGCCGGGCGAGGAGGAGGUUCACCGCGACCCACCGUCGGUCAGACCUGUAAGUGUUCGACUUACGUAUUUUGGACUCAUCUUUUUUUUUGUUUUUUUUUUAACUUUUGUUCCUGUAGUGCGGCAUCGGAUGUCGACCCUGGCCAAACUGCCAGCCAGGGAACAGGCGAGCCUGCCCGCGGUUCUGGGGAUGCGGCCCCCCAGACCACAGAGCAGCCCACAGCUGCGGUCGCGCCUGGGAGCACCGAGGGACUCCCAAGCGCGGCGCCGACUACAACAAGCAGCCCGACCAGGGCUGGAGAAGCUCCCCCAACUGACUCCUCGGAGAAGGGAAGAUCUCCGACCGCUCCUCCUGCCGGGGGGAGUGAAGUCCCCCCGCCGCCCCGAGCAGGAGCCUCUUCGGCUGCGGGCUCCCCCGGUCUGGUCCAAGGGCCAGUAAUGCCUGGGACCACCACCGGGGGUGACACAGCACAGGAGGAGGAGACCCGGGCGGCCUCCGAUGACGAGGUGGAAGAGAUCGAGGGUCGUCCCCGUGAUGGCCGCCAACACGUGUAUGUGUGGCGCCAACGCGGGGACCACUUUAUCGGUCAUGAGGAGCUCGCCGAGACCGAAGAGGCCGCCAGGGUGGAGCGCGCGGCCAAGCGCCUUGUCGACGAAGUCAAGGUAAGCGGCUCUUUGUAGUGCUGCGCAUUCUUUUGCCUUGUCUUGCAUGGUCGUUAUAUGCUUGCUUUGUAGGACGUAAUGAAAACGGCGAAGUACCGGAAACGGUGCUUUGACCAGAUAGAAGGCGUCAUGGCCGAGAACAAGGCCCUUGCCGCGGAGGUAGACCGGUUGCGCGCGGAGGUCGGGGAGAAGGUGGUCGAGAUGAGUGCCGAAAAGGAGCGUCGUCUCGACCUCGCUCGUCGUCUGGCCGACCAGUACCGGCUGCAGGAAGGUUAGUCACACGCUCCGAGCAGCUUCGCGUACUUGUAUAGUUUGGUUUGCUGACCAGUUUAGGAUUCACGCAGACUUGGAGGAGGAGGUGGCGAGCCUCCAACAAGAGAAGGAGCAGCUCAGCCAACAGCUCGCCGGUGCGCUGGAGUCCGGGCGGCGAGCAGAAGAGGAAUUGGGUCGAAAAGGCCGGGAGCUAUCUGGUAAUGAGUGCCACCUUGUUGGUUGCUGCCUGCCCCUUUAUUUGUCUGGUAUGCCGAAAGUAACGUUUCGCUUUGUUUGCAGUGCUCAAGGUGAACACCAAAAAGCACCUGGAUGAGCUGAUCAAGGACCGGGACUCCUGGAAGGUCAACUGUUGCAGGAUCUGGAAAGGAGUGUCCCCGGUCCUAGACCUGAUCAGUCCUGAGCUCCCGGAGAGCCAGCCCCGCGCGCCGCAGUUGACCCCGGUCGAGAAGGCGCAACGGGCGUGGGACUGGCUCCAGCAGUUUGUGAAGGACGCCGGGGAGUUUGCCGGCGCGCACGUCCUCAGUAUGGUGCGCGCCCACUACCCCCUGGUCGACUUGAGCAGGCUGGAGAAGGGGUAUCCGAAGGAAGUCGGCCCACAGGAAGCGGACGAACUUCGGGGUAAUCUGCUGGACUUGUCGUCGACAGUGAUCGGCGACAUCAAUCUGUGCGGAACGGCCACUCCUCCAGACCAGCCGAGCUCAGAUAGGUCGGCCAGGGAGUUGUCGGGCGCGUCCGUUGCGGGAGAUGGGCGGUCGACGCCUGCGGUCUCGACCAGCCAGGCGCCGGUGGCCCCGACCCCUUCGUCCGGGCAGCAGGGCCAGGCGGGUGAUCAGCCCGAGCAGCCAGGCCAAUAAAGUAGUCUGUAGGAAUAGACUAGUGUUUGCCCGUCAGGGUAUUUAUUGUAAACUUUGUAUGUAUAAAGUUUGUAAUAAAGUUUGCUUUUUGUCAUGACUGUUGUUUUGAGCGCUGUAAGAAUAUCUGAGUGACGUGUCACCGUAUUUGUCUUGGUUGUCGCUAAGAGCGUCCGUUGCAGGAGUGUUGCCGAGUGCUGCGUGUGACAAGGUAUGGGCCAAAAAUAGAGAAUUUAAUUAUCAAAAAUUAUGAGAUACUUACAGAAGAAAAUCAUUAAAACUUUAUGGAUAGAAACGUCGCAGUUUAUCGAUGUGCCAAGAGUUAGGCACUCGUGUUCCGUCUGGAUAUGCCAAUCUGUAGGACGUAGGUCGUGUGACCUCGGUCACCACGAAGGGUCCUUCCCAGGGAGUGGAUAGCUUGUGCAUUCCCUCCUGGCUUGUCUUCCAUCGAAGCACCAGAUCGCCGACCACGAAAGAACGGUCCUUGACAUUCCUGUUGUAGUAUCGCCUGACUGCUGCGAGAUAUUUUGCUGUUCGGAGACACGACACUAAACGCUUUUCCUCCAUGCAAUUGAUUUCGAGUCCUCUGGCGUUGUCGGCGGUCGCCUGGUCGAAGUGCUCGAUUCUAGGAGAUUCGAAGUGUAUGUCGGACGGCAAGACCGCCUCUGCACCGUACACCAUGUAGUAGGGAGACACCCCUGUGUUUCGACUGGUCUGAGUUCGGAGGCCCCAGACCACAGCCGGCAAUUCUUUCAUCCAUCGACCGGGUGCUCUGUCGUUUUCGGUGUACAGCCUUUUCUUUAGGGCGUCAACGAUCAUUCCGUUAGCACGUUCAACUUGACCGUUGGCACGUGGAUGUGCCACUGACACAUAUUUUAUGAUUAUGCCUCUGUCAUCGCAGAAAUCCCAAAAAGUGGUGCCAGUAAACUGAGUGCCCAGGUCGGUGAUUAUGCUGUUCGGAAUGCCGAAUCUGUGUAUGAUUUGAUUGAGGAACUCCACAGCCUUCUCGGAGGUUGCCUUGACCAGGGGCAUGUAUUCAAUCCACUUGGAGAACUUGUCGAUUAACACGAAGACAAACUUGAAAUUGCCCGGGGCUGGUUUAAAUGGUCCGAUCAUGUCGAGCCCCCAGCAAGCAAAGGGCCAAGACGACGGGAUGGUUUGAAUUUCAUGGGCAGGUACGUGGGUCCUCUUAGCGAAAAACUGACAUCCUUCGCAAUGCCGAACCAGUUUUUCUGCGUCGCUGACCGCGGUUGGCCAAUAAAAACCUGCUCGGAAAGCCUUUUCGACCAGCGUUCUAGAUGCGGCGUGGUUGCCGCAGGAUCCGGCGUGUAUGUCUUCCAAGAGCUUGAUACCAUCAUCUUGGGGUAUGCACUUGAGCAGUACUUCGGAGCUUGCGUUUUUCCGCAUGAGUUUUCCGUCGACCAGGAUGUAGUUCUUUGAUCGUCGGAUGAGACGCUCGUUCUCUGUUUUGUCCUGAAAGCCAGUCCCGUCUGAUAUGUAUUUGAUGAACGGGGUACGCCAGUCACGCCCACCGUUUGUCGGAGUGGCGUCAUCUAUGAGCAUUGCCUCGGUGGGUUGUUUGUCGACCAGGGGGGAGCCUACGCUCGGCUCAUGGAUGUCCUGGACGAAAAUACCCCGCGGGAUUUGGGCCCGAGAUGAGCCUAACUUUGACAACGCAUCUGCUGCUUGGUUCUUAUCCCGGACCACAUGGAUGUACUCUAUGCCAUAGAAGUUAGUUUCCCAUUUGCGAAUUUCUUUGCAGUAGAGAUCCAUCUUCUCGUGGGUUGCGUCCCACUCCUUGUUGAGCUGGUUGAUGACCAAAGCGGAGUCGCCGUAGACAUAGAGGCGCUUGACCCCCAGUUCAACGGCUAGUCGUACGCCAUGUAAGCAUGCUUCGUAUUCGGCGACAUUGUUUGACGCCGGAAAAAGGAUCCGAAGGACGUAGCGGAGUUUGUCCUUGUUUGGUGAUACGAACAAUAUCCCAGCGCCUGCACCGUUGAUGUUCAAGGACCCAUCAAAGAACAUUGACCAGUGGUCUGAGACAUCUGGAACGGAAGGCUCGUUGAGAUCCGUCCAUUCAGCAAUGAAGUCGACCAGGGCUUGAGACUUGACAGUGGUGCGACUCUGGAACUCUAGGGAAAAUGGACAUAAUUCCAUUGCCCAUUUCACGAUUCUGCCAUUGGCGUCUUUAUUGCGCAGGAUGUCCCCGAGAGGAAAGCUGGUUGUCACCAGGACUCGAUGGCCGUCGAAGUAGUGCUUCAGCUUUCUUGACGUUAUCAGGAUGGCGUAUAUAAGCUUCUGUAUUUGUGGGUACCUGGCCUUGGAUUCGUUUAAAACUUCACUUAUGAAGUAAACGGGUCUCUGGACCUUGAAGACGUGACCUGGUUCAUCUCGCUCGACCACUAUUGCCGUGGAGACAACCCUGUCGGUUGCAGCAAUGUAAAGGAGUAGGUCUUCAUUAGGCUGAGGCGCUGUGAGGACAGGCGGUGAAGUGAGGAAGGUCUUAAGCUGAGUGAACGCAGCGUCGGCUUCUUCUGUCCAAGAGAAUUUUUCUGACGCUUUCAGUAGUUUGAAGAAAGGGAGGCCUUUUUCUCCCAGCCUUGAGAUGAAACGACUGAGGGCGGCCAUGCAUCCGGUUAGCUUCUGAAUAUCCUUGACGUUCUUCGGUGGUCGCAUGUCGAGUACGGCUUUGACUUUUAAAGGGUUUGGUCGUAUGCCGUCGCAACUGACGACGUUGCCGAGCAGCAGACCGGAAGGAACGCCGAAAAUGCAUUUCUUGGGGUUGAGCUUCCACUUGUACCUAUUGAGUGCCUUGAAGGUUCGGUCUAAGUUGUCGAUUAGGGUGCUCACGUCCCUUGUUUUUACGACCACGUCGUCCACAUAGGCUUCGACGAGGUCAUCGCGAAUCUCGUCGUGGAGGCAUUGCUGGAUGGCCCUUUGAUAAGUGGCCCCGGCAUUUUUAAGUCCGAAAGACAUGGUAGUGUAGCAGUAUGCGCCGAAGGGUGUGAUGAAGGAUGUUUUGAUCUGAUCUUCUUCCUUUAACGAGAUCUGGUGAUAACCAGAGUAGCAAUCUAGAAAGGAGAGGAGUUCGCAUCCGGCCGUUGAGUCGACCACCUCGUCGAUGCGAGGAAGACCAAAAGGAUCUUUAGGACAGUGUUUGUUGAUAUCGGUGUAAUCAACGCACAUUCUCCAUUCAUUAUUCUUUUUGCGUACAAGGACCGGAUUGGCGAGCCAAUCGGGAUGAUACACUUCUUUUAUGAAUCCGGCUGCUAGAAGCCGUGUUAUUUCUGUCCUAAUAGCCUCCUUUUUGUCACGAGCGAACCGUCGCAGUUUUUGCUUGAUUGGUCUUGCGGUCUUCGAGACGUUUAAGGAGUGCUCGAUCAGGUUUCGUGGGACACCGGGCAUGUCUGCGGGUUUCCAUGCAAAAACGCUCACGUUGUCCCUUAGAAACCUGACGAGCGCGUCUUCCUAUUUUGGAUCCAGGUUAGCCCCGAUGAGGGCUGUCUUCUCGGGGUUGCCUUCGACCAGCUGCACUUCUUUGUACUCCUUGGAUUUCGAAUUCUUUCUGGCUGUCUCCUGCUCAGGUAAUCGGAGCUGGUCGGGGGGCAGCUGUGCGGCUUGGUUUGCUGUUUCCGCCAUGCGGAUUGAGAGGUCAAUUGCCUCGGUGAUCUUGAAGCUUUCUUCUUCGCAGGUGUACGCAGUGUAGACGUUGCCUCUGAUGGUUAGGACACCCUUCUCCGUGGGCAUCUUAAGCACUAGGUAUGAGUAGUGCGGGACUGCCAUGAACUUUGUCAGCGAUGGGCGGCCCAGUAUGGCGUGGUAGGUCCCGUCGAAGUCCGCGACUACGAAGUUGAUGAACUCCGUGCGGAAGUGAUCGGGUGUGCCGAAUUGGACAGGCAAUGUUAUCUGUCCGAGGGGCACCGAACUUUGACCUGGCAAAACACCCCAGAAUUGGGCGUCGUAAGGUUUUAGUUGCGCCGGUGAUAUCUUGAGGGCGGGCAGGCUGUUGCGGAAGAGGAUGUCGAUGGAGCUUCCCCCGUCCACGAGCACGCGCUCGAAUCUGAUGCUAUUGAUGCAGGGAUCAAGAAUCAGUGGGAAACGACCCGGCUCUGGGAUAGCGGCCCACUGGUCCUUCCUGCUGAACGAGAUCUCCCUGUGGGACCACGCGGGAAAUUUCGGAUCUGCGAUCAGCCCGUCCGUGCUGUCUAUGUUGAGGCAGGCUCUCUUUAACAGCUUUCUUUCUCGCUUGGACUCAGUGGAGACCUUGCCCCCGAAAAUGGAGUGCACCACGUCGGUGGGGCUGACGUAUUGGUGUCGGGGGUCCCUGUCUUGGUCCUCAUCCUCAUCUUCGUGGUCGUGCCCGUCGCGCUUGUUAUUUUUCUUGGCGGUGUCCUCUUGGGCGGCCCGCCGUGUAUAGAUACUUUUGAGGACGCGGCACUCCUCCAUGGUAUGGUUAGACUUUGGGUGUAGCUGGCACGGUCCCUUCAACGUUUUGUUGUAGUCGUCUUGGUAGUCCCGUCGUCCAUUGGGACGUUUGACCGUAUUUACUUCGUGGUCGUAUUCGCGAGGGCGCUUUCCUCUGAAGUCGUCGCGGCUGUCGCGCCGCCGAUCCCAACCCUCUCGGUGAUCGCGGUUGUCAGAGCGGCGGUGAUUUCUGUUGUCGUAGCGACCACGACCAUCAUCUCGCCGGGAGGGCUGGUCGUUGCCUCUCGCAUCGUCUCGGAUUAGUUUUUCUGCGUCAUCAGCAUCGGCGUAAUUUUUGGCCGUGGCGAGGAGCUCUGCUACCGUUGAUGGACGCUUACGCAACAGCUUGUUCCUCAGCGCUUCAUGGAAACGCAAGCCCUUGAUAAAGGCUGAUAUGGCCUCGUCAUGAGAAAUCUUCGGGAUUUUGAGGCGCAUAUCCGAGAAUCGUCGGAUGUAAUCGCGCAGAGGUUCAUUCUUCCUGUCUCUUAUCCUUUCAAGGUCAUACUUGUUUCCGGGCUGCUCGCAUGUGGCGAUGAAGUUGUCGAUGAAAGCCUGUCGUAGCUCUUCCCAAGAAUCAAAGGAGUCCUCGGGCAAGCCGAGAAGCCACUGAUGACCAGCCUGGUCGAGGACUACGGGGAAGUAGUUAGCCAUGACGUGCUCAUCUCCUGCCGCUGAUCGGACGGCGAUUUCGUAGAGAGUGAUCCAGUUCUCUGGAUUUUCCUUGCCGUCGUAUUUUUUAAGUUUUUCGAGUUUGAAAUUGCGGGGCCACACGACCUGGCGGAGGUGUGAGGAGAACUGCCUUAGGCCCGGAGGACCGUGAGUUGCAUCGUACUCGAUGCGGCGCAGGUUUUCGUGGACUGCCCUCUCCGCGGCGCGCCUGUUGAUGCGGUCCCGGGCAUCUUUGGGAGGGAUGUUGUGGCGGAGAUCCCUGUGUUGAUUUUCUUCUUGGCCGCGUGCGCGGUUCUGCUGGCGGCGGCCAUCGGCGUCCCGACCACCAUCGUCGCGCCGUGAGUCCCCUCGAUGGUUGUCGGGGGAGCGGCUGCGGUGACGCCUGCCGGGUGAGGCCCGGCUACGAUUAGUCUGGUCGGAGGCGGCUUCCGUAUAAGAAACGUCCUGGACUCUCUUGAGCAGAGUGGCUGUCUGUCCCAUUGCGGCGAUCAGGUGUGCUCGGAUGCUGGUCCGGACUCCCUGGCAUUCGGGGGUGUCAGGAAGCCGAUCCAGGUUGGCCAUGGCGACAGCCACGUUGGCGCUUGGCGUUUUGUAGACCGGCUGGUCCCCGACCAUGUCAAAGGCAUCGUUGAGGUUACUUGGUGGCAUCUGUUGUUGCUCGUCCGCACGCCGUCGGGCGCGAUCGGCGUUACGCUGUUCGCGGAGUUGCCUCUGGUCGUCUGUUUCUCCGUCAACAGCCGGUUCGUCGGCGCUGACAUUGAACACAAUAUCCCCUCGCCGGGGGGGGAAUAUCGGGAAUCGGUUGAAACCCGGAGGGUGUGAAGGAAAAUCCAGGUCGUAGCCCUCGUCUUCGGUGUUUAUAACCUCGGUGGGGACGGAGCCGGUGCUUGAGUUGGUGCUGGAAACCUGGCCGUCCCGUAGCUCUCGGAUGGUCACCAUGUUGACAUGGUGACGAUUGUUCCUUGUCGGCGACCAGCCCGCUUUGCUGAAAACGGAUUGGACAUGCUGUGAGUAAACAGAGGCCGAGUUGUUCAGGCCGCGAGGAUAGUCUUCCUUUUUGAGCUCGACGGAUCGUCCUGAGGGGGUUGAGGUUAUCGUCAGGGACGUUCCCAGCCGUUCGUGUGUGGCGACACGAGUUGGCCGGCGGAAUUUCGAAAAAUCCGCUCGAGCAGCUUGGUCGGGCCGGCGCAGAACUCCAUCUAUUAGUUGGGAGACUUCGAGUAGCUUGGAGUCAGCGCGAUCGAGCGCUUGGAGGAGGUCCGAGCAGUCGAUCUCCUUUCCCUUGUAGAGCGGGAACGGUGGUCGGGAGCUUGGUGCCGUCGUGCGUGUGGUCGGAGACGGCGUGAUCUCAGAUUGGAUCUGGAUCUCUUUCGGAACCGUGGUCGCGAAGCCGCCGCUGCACGUCGUCCACGUGAUUUGGCCGACGGUGAACGUGAGGCCUUCGGGCACGGUCGCGGAAGCUGGGAUCGUGACCAUCUUGUUCGCCGGAAAAGUUGCACGCACACCCCCUACCUGGCGCGCCACUGUCGACGAAAGCUAGUCGGCAGUCUACCUUGGGGUAUACCCACGGUAGUAGUUUAUCGGUAGACGGUGCGCAAACUACGAACUCGAUGGUGACGCAAGACACGGACAAGCUUUUUAUCCAGGUUCGGCCGCCGAGUUGGCGUAAUACCUACGUCCUGCGUCUGGUUGUAUUGAUUUGUGUUGAGAGAAUAUCUUGUCCUAGGGGGGUCCCUUGCCCCUCCUUAUAUAGUCUGGAGGGCAGGGUUACAGAUCUAGAAACUAAUCCUAGUCGGUUACAAUUGCCAUGGAUAAUUCGAUAUCAAUUCCUAUUCUAACCGACUAGAGUCCUGCUUGAUCUCCACAUCUUGUUUCCUUGCGCAGAACUCCAAGCUGUCGAAUCAAGCCUUGAACUCGUCUCGUAAUGGGCCAAACCUCCUGGCCCAAGUCUAGCCGUAAGGGUAUAGGGGUUUAUACCCCCACAGGCCGCCAAUUUCAAUGUACUGAACUGUGUACUGGAGAUUUCAUAGUAAUUUGUUUAGAUUUAGCAGCACACAUAUUAUACAUAGGGUAAUUAUACAUAGUAUGGUCGAUGCCUAGGAUUAUAUGUUUUUUUGGUCUCUAGGUGUACAGUGAAAGACCUGAUACAAUAAAGUAGGACAUAGAGUAGGGAUACUGAAGGUCUAUAGUUUAGUGACUCCGAACAGGGUCGAAAGGCGGUGAUCAUGUAGAUUAUUAUGGUAGUGGUUAUUAUACAAGGUUGUUGAUGCUUUCAUUGCCAGUUCCUAUGUAGAGUAGUCGGCGAACUGUGUUGUUGCAGUUUUGUUUUCAGUCGUCGUCGCUGUCGUUUGAGGUGCUCAUCGAUGAAGCUUGCGAGGUGACUGCAUGGAUGUGUUGUAUACAUCAGAUGUCAAGAACGUUUUUUGCAAAGUAGAUUGUAUAAGAUAGUUGAGUAAUUGGUGCGGAAAUUGGUUUUCGUGUGAUUUAUGACGGCAAUAGAUGAAACUAUAUCAGGUACUUGAAAAUAAGUGUUGUAUUAUGAAAUUAUAAGCGGGAAGAGUGUGUUUUGAUGUACCUUGGAGCCGAGAGGUUUCUUCGUCUGUGUCACUGGUGCCAAUUAGUUCCAUCCGUUGUUCUGUAUCAAGGUCCGAGUAUCCUGUGAAUUUGAGACAGAAGAGAUAUUAGCAUCUGGUCACGAUGGUUUGGAGCGGUGUAUUUGUAACAAAGGUUAUUACCGCGGAGUUCAGAUCGACGUUCUCCUGGUGGUGUCUGUCUGCCUAGCAUUUCAUCUGUGAAUGUCUGGUAACAUAGGCGCCAAAUGCUGAUGAUGUCGUUCUGUCCAGUUAAGUUUCUGAUGCCUAAAUGAGCAGUUUGUGGGACCAUUGUCAGGCGUCCGCGGGCACUAAGGUCAUAUUCGGCUGUACCAGAUAAGAAUGUGAUCCCAUGGAUGAUGCAAAUUCUAUUGAAGAGCCUGUAUAUCAGCGAGUUGCAGCAUAGAUGUGGUGGUACGCCGCGGAUCUGGAUGGUCAGGUGUUCAUAUGGUUCUGUCAAGGGUGGGCUUUUAGCUAAGUGUACGUUGAGAGGACAGGAGGUUAGCACGGUUUGUAAAGGAACUGCUGUUGAUCCAUGUUCUGGGUUCCAAGGCAUGAGGGCGAUCAUGUAGUUCUGAACAAUUAUAAUGCCUUUGCGCAACAUGUUUAUCUUCGCAUCUGCUGUAUGUACGUGUAGGAAAUAACCUUGGCCAUAGCUGGAUAUGUCCUGUACCUGAAUAUUGACUUGGAAUUGUUGGUGGACCGCUUCGGCAAGGUCGUAAUGGUUGAAUGCGUCUGAGAGAGUAUCUGGGAUCUUUGCGAAGACAGCGUUGACAUAGGCGCUGGUGUUGAUAUCCUGAAGUCAGCUUUAUCGAUGAUUAUGAGGUUUUCGAAUCUGUGAUUCGCCAUCUGCUGGAAAUUGUAGAUGUGUGAGUGUUUUUGGUAAAUUAACAAUGAAAUGAUGUAUUUGUGUAUGUAGUACGGUCUUCGAGUCUAUGGUAAUGUAGGUAUAUUUAAUUUAGAGUAUGUGGCGCUGCAAAAAUUAUAUGAGGCCAUUAAAUUGAUGUACUGUGUUGCUAUUAUUUGUUUAUGAAGUGAUGAGAGUAAAAAUAAGGCUCUUAAACAGUGUGCAUGGUGGACGUCCAUUUUUUUUGUAGAAGAAAUAGCAAUAUACAAGCAGGAUGAACAUAAACUUGUUUUAUAUGACUAUGGUUCAUAAUAGGGUCUUGUACAUGUACUGAGGAUAAAAUAUGUGUACCUUCGUAACAAACAUUCAGAAAGAGUAUUGACUAAAUUUGUGGUAUUACCUAAUCAAAACAAAAAUGAGUGGAAAUUUUGGGCAUAACUUAAGGCGAGUUGUGGAGGGCUAGGAACAAUAAUGAUGAUCAGGUAGUUUACUUACAUUAGGCCGAAGUAAAUUUUCUCCGUAGCUGUUGGUGGUGUUGUGGAUCUAGCUUCUUCAGGUUAAUGGGGCGCAGGCCAUGGUCCAGAGGGUGUGGAUGGUGGAGCUGUUAUUGGAGGGAGACGGGAGGGGAGGGGAGAAGAGGGGAGGCACAAGUAGGUUAUGCAAUCUUGGGCGGAGGAAUCCGAAGCUGGGGAGACCAAAGGAGGAAGGCGAACAGUGUUGAGGCCAUGGAUAAGGUUCUCUGGAUUGCUGAGGCGAGAGGAAAGAUGUAGGAGGUAGGUAUUAGUAGUAAAGUGGAUAAGGGAGGGAGGUAGUUGAUAGUAAUAAAGUGGAAGGUGGGCAGCACGAUGGGGUUUUUUUGGCUCAUCUAUUUAUUAUUUGGCUGUUAGAAAAUUGUACAAAAUUCUGUAUAUUUGGCAGUGAAAUCUUUUGAACUUUAACUAACUUUAUUCCCAAAAGUAGCAACAUGUAUGACAUAAAUUGUGAAUCUUGUAGAGGUAUAAUUUCUGAUAAAUUUGUAAUGGUAUUGGUUUGUUUAAAAAAAUUUGUUAUUUUUUUUGUACAAAUUUUGUAAAACUUUUAAAUGUUUCUCUCUCGUUCAUUCGUUAUUUAGUUUGUAAAAAAAUGUAUAAAAUUUGCUUUGUCUGGCAUUGAAAUUUGUAUAGGCUUAAUUAGCUUUAUACCAAAAAGUGGCAAUAUUUGUGGCAUAAAAUAUGAACGCUACUAAAAGAUAUUUUAUGAGAAAUGUAAUGUUAUUAGUUUGAUAUAAUGAGUUGUAGGAUUUUUUUUACAAAUUUGGUACAAUAUAGUUUAGUUUUUCUUGUUUUGGCGUUUAUUUGGUUUUUUAAGGCUGUUAUCCGUAAUAUUUUUUUUUGCCACUGAAUUUGACCAAUGAAGUAGAUGGUAUGAGGACGAAUGUGUUGCAGUAUUGUUUAUGUGAGUUUAUACAUAGUUCUCCCAGUAUGUUAAACAAUUUUUUAGAUUAAUUUUUUACAACGGCGAAACAUAGCGGUACAUUUGGUAUAUAUUUUUAAAAACGAGCGGUGCCGCUGCUUUUGCAGUGGAAUAAACCUAUAAGAUGAAUCAAAACUGUUAUAUAAACAUAUUUAUUGAAGUCUGGAUAGAUUAUAUUACACAUGAUGUGAGUAAUAUUAGUUGGUUCUUACAAGCACAAGGAUCGUACUUAUAAGGCUGUGCUAUAUAUUACAAACUUUGUACAAACACUGCAUUGCGUAGGCUAACGGAACAGCUAGGGUGAAUCCUGUGGCACGAGGAUUUGCUAAAUGUGUUCCUAUGUCGAGGGCUAUUAAACAGAUAUGAAAUAUGAGUGCAUGAUGUCGGCAUAUGUCCUUAUUAGGCUGACGAAGUCUUCAUUCCUUAUGCUAGAGCUCCUGUAGUAGGGUAUUGACUGUUAAUCAUGGUUGUACGAAAAUUGUUGGUACAGCUGUUGUCAUGGGUGUUGACUACGUACAUAAGUCAGUAGUAGAUCCAAAAUUUGAAAGUUACCUGGUAUGUCAGCUCGAAGCCAUCGACUGGGGAUAGCAUUCGGUGAUUCCAUAUCCAAAUGUGUGCAAAGAAACCGAAUCUGUAUAUAGAAAAAAUUGUGUAUUAUGUUUUAAUAAUUUGUUAAAUAUAGGUGUUAUUAAUGUGUUUUUUUUGGGUUACCUUUGAGUCUGUGAAGUCAUCGGCUGAACUUAUAAUACUAUUGUAAUAAGCUGUCAUGACAUUAUCAAGCUUAGUUACAGCAUCAUGUAAGUGCAUGAUGUUGUUUAUUCCGUCGGAUGCCAAACUGUAUUCGUUGUGUAAAUGGCCGAAACUUUCAUAUAUUGGAACUAUGUCUUCUCUGACAUAUGACACACAACAUUGUAGUAGGCUCAUGUAUACGCUGAGGUUGUUGAUGUCAUUAACCAGUCUUUUUAGGAUUGGGUAGUUGAGGUCGACUAUUUGAUAUCCCAGAACAUUUGUGAUUUGCUUUAGGGUGUAACAGAUAGCAAGUGUUUCAAUGGAUGCUGGAGUUUUGUGAGGAAGUUCAUUAUACUUGUAUGUCAAGUUUUGUGUACGCACGAAUGCUUCAAACUGACCUGUCGAUGUUUCGAUGGUUGUAAUGGCACUCUGUGCUUUAUAUGCUGCUUUUGUAGUCGCAGUAUAUAUGACUUUUAGCCGGGUAACAUAUGAUGGUGGGACUGGUAUCUGCAUGGUUUAUGUUACUGUUAGUUGAAGCAGUUGAUAUACUUGAUUUAUAUGAGUAAUAUUGUAUGAGUAGUAUAUAUUUUGUUGUGUAAAAAAAUCAUACCUCAUGCAGCGGUGGAAUCUUAUUGAAACCAGUUAGGUUCAUAGGUUCUUCUGGUUGUGCCUUGACUAAGUUGAUGUGGCCAUCUAUAAUGCUGUAAUUUCUAUAGGCGUGGUUUGCAGCAUUACUUAGAUGCUCAGCAAAGUGACAGAUAUAUAUAUAUGUACCAUCCAGGCUAUUAUUUGCAGCAACUUGAAUAAUGGUGCGGAUGGCGGUAGCUUGGUUGAGGAACUGCUGUAGGAACUCUUGUAGCAUUUGUUGUAACUGAAUAGUUUUAUAUCUGCAUAUCUUCAAGAUUUUGAACUUUUGGUAGUAGAAGUCUCGGAGUUCUGAAAUUAGCAAGUAGCUGUAGUCUGGUGACUUCAGUUCGUAGGCUGUGUCUAUCAUGCUAGCAUAAUUAUCCUUGAGAGCCUGGUUUCCUAAAAUGGAUAUCAUAGUUAGAUCCAUAAUUUGUAGUGCCUGUUCAUAAGCAAAGAGGUAGUACAUUAUUUACCUGGGUGUGUUCUCAACGCUGAUGGUACAGGAAGUAUUGUGAGUGGAUCAAUAUUGAUUUUUAGAUCAUCUGCUUGAUUCGAUAUGCGCCAAAGAUAGAUAAAGGUGAGACAUUUUGUAAGCAAAACUUAAAAAACAUGGUGAUAGUAUAGUAUUUCAUUGCAACUGUACCUGUUAUCCAAGGUAGCUGAGUUAAUUCGUACUGUUUUGACCAUGGCACGAUUUUGAGGCGGAAGUUUCUUGUUUGUAGAGGCGAUGCGCUCACUGUUUGUCGCUGUAGGUGAGAAUUUUGCAAAUAGAUGAUAAAAUUUGGUGGCCUAUAUGUUAUAUCAGAGGUAGUCAUGUAAAAGCCCAACUGGUUUCUUAUUGUCUCUACAAUUUCUUUGGAGACCUGUCUUGGUUCUUCCCUGUAUGUAUUUGUUGGUCUUGCGAUGAUGGCAUACUGCCAGUAUGUUUCUGAAACAUGAGCUGUGAAAUUAUUUUUCCUCUAUUUUAACUAAAGAUUGUAAGAAAAAAAUGUAAUGGAAAGUGCAACUAAAAAGUAAUAACUAACAAGAGUGAUAAUAUGUACCUUCAUUGAUUCCUGGUAUUUCCAUCAUGGUUUUCACUGUGCGGGUAAUUGAUCUGCAGUGUUAUGUAAAAUAAUGUCAAUAUUAAGUAUGUGAUUAGUAUGAAGAUAUUAGUGUCAAAUUUUUAUAGGAAUAGGUUUUAUUUUGUUUACUAAGAUGUUAAUAUGACAUGUGUAUUUAGUUAAUAAACAGUUAGUUCUAAUUGAUAUGUGACUAAUAUUUGGUAGGAAAACUGGUGUGGCCGAUAGGUCGAUAUCUGAAAUUGAUGUGAUAGAUAUAUGGGGGCAGUGAUUACAAUUUGGUGUUGAUUAUAACUUAGGAAAAGCUAAUAGAAUAAUUGCAAUAAUCAGUGGAUGAAGACAGAUUGAGAAAAAGAGAGAGAAAAACCUAGGGUUCCAUGGAUGAGGGAGCUUGCCGAUACGCUGUCUGAGUUGAAGGCCGCUGCACUGGGGAGCAGUCGUAGGGUGAGAUAGCCGUGGUGCGGUCGUCGUCCGCCGCUGCCGAUUCUUGCGUACCUAUCGACGGCGCUAACACAAGGAUAUGGUGGGGUGGAAGAAAUAGGGUUGUCUAGGUUUUGAUGGAGCUCGGUGACGCGAUACUUAGUUGGGACGAAGCGUUGCUGGGAAGAAGUCGGGUGCCGAUUCGGUGCCCCUGUAGUUUGGAGUAGCAGCCCGUCGGCUCGUGGUGAUCGGAAGUACUGAGUGUAUAUGUACAGGAGCAGUAAACUGGGCUGAAACUGUGGUGCUUUGUGGGCUUGGUUUGCCUUUUUUUUUGCCUUUUUUGGUGGCUUCACUAUGUUGGGCCUAACGGUGCAGCCCGAUCGUUUUUUACGUUUGUGACCUGUGUUUUGGAUUUAUUUUCUUAUAGUUAAGGUCCAUUGCUGGCCUUAUCCUUUUUCCUCUUUCUGGGUGUUUGCCCUGGGUUAGGCUUAAUGCUAUAACCCGAUUGUUUUUUAUGUCUGUGAGGUGUGUCCCUAAUUUGUUUUGUUAUAGUCAAUAUCUAUUACUCAAGGGUCGAAGCCAACAGAAUUAUGAUAAUAAGGGCGUUGAGUUGCUGACAUGACCGAUAGCACGAACAUAUUCAGUAUCAUGUAGAAGACAUCAGUUUCAUGUACAAGACAUCAGUAAGAGUGGCGCAGGUAGUUUUUGUAGACGGGUAAAUAGUUAACAAAAUACUACCAUUAUACUCGCUUUUAUGUAGAAGGCAUUGGUAACAGGAGUGUAGGCAGUUUUUGUAGAUGAGUAGAUAGUUAACCAGGUCGACACUGGUGACAGGUAAUUAACUACAUAGUAGCAAUAUUUGUUGAGAUACCAGCAUUUUGAGCAACCAAUAUAGAAGGAACAUGGUAAAAACCACUCGCUUUUAUGUAGAAGACAUUGGUAGCAGGAGUGCAAGUAGUUUUUGUAGAUGAGUAAAUAGUUAACCAGAUAAACACUGGUGACAGGUAAAUAACUACAUAGUAGCAACAUUUGUUGAGAUACCAGCAUUCUGAGGAACCAAUAUACAAGGAACGUGGUAAAAACUAAAAUAAAACUGCUAGGUGGGAAUAGCUGAGCCUAGGUAGAGUCCUGUGUUGUAAAUAUAAAGCAACACGCUCUUAAAGACCAUAGGCAUCAUGUUGCACAAAAGGUUGUUGUCGACUGAUCGUGAAUACGUAUCACCUGAAAUGUAUAAGGGUCUUAGGCAAAGUUUUGGUAAAUAUAUAAAGUUUUCAUAUAAGUGCAAAAGUUGAGGACAUGGCGUGUAUAAAAAAAAUGUUGCUACAAAUAUUUAUCUUACUAAUAAUAAAUGUUAAAAGCAUAGUUGAAGAAUGCAAUGUUCACCUGUCCUGAUUUCUUCAUUUAGACCUGAUCAGAAGACGCCUGCUGCUUCAGGGGCUUAUUUCUGGACCUGCUAGUGCAUACAUUUGUCAGUUGUUAAAUUUGUGUGCUAUUAUUAGAUUGCUUUCUUGGCUUUUUAUGGUCUUUUGUUCCAGAUUCCUACCUUUUUGUUUUUGGUGCAGGUGGUGGAUCGGUUAGACCAACAAGGUUGUCUUCAGACACUGUUUCUUCAUCCAAGUUUUCAUCACCUCUAGUCUCCUGAGUCAAUGGAAGGGCGAUGUAAACAAUCAGAGAUAAUGUAUAGUUUUUAGAGGCAUAUGUUAAGAAGGGUAACAAUUUUGUCAGUUGUUUGGAAGUACAGUCUGUAUACAGUUAAAGCAAAACAUAAAUUUGAGUACGGGUUUUACAAACACAAAUUAGGAUCUGGUAACAGUGUUACCUUUUCAGGUUGCUUAUGUUCUCCAAAUAGCCUUUUCCGGGUAUUUGUUGGAGGCACCGUUGAUCUGGUAGAUAUUAAAAAGAGGAUGUAAGUGGUACAUGGAUACAAAGAUUAUUAGUUGUUCUAUAUAAUUAUAUCUUACUCAUUGGUAUGAUCUUUAGUAGGUGUUUUGUCUUGAUCAAUGACUGGGGCAGGCGUCUGUAAACAAAAGCGUGAAAAUGAGUGUGCUAGGUAUAUAGUCGUAUAGAAAUUGAUAAAUAGAGAGGGGAAAAUGUAUAUGUUUAACAUACUAAUUGGCUAUCCUGAGCAAUCUCAAAAACUUGUUGGUGAGCCUUUGGAGUGUUCGUUAUUUGUGGUGGAGUGCGUUCAUGUGUAGAGGUAGUGCACAUAACUGUAGUACACUGUGUGGUGGUUGCAGAUCCAGCAAGGUACAGUGGAGAAUGACGCUUAUCUGAUCUUUCCAAGAUAUGCUUCACCAGGUAUUGUCUUUUUGAUCUACUGCUGAAUGAGUCCUCCGUGAGGUUAAUGGACAAGGUGAAUUUCUUGGAAAUAAUGGACUGUAGUGGCUGCGGCAACCCAGACGCCAAUUUCAAAGGGUUUAAAAUUAGAUCACAAUCUUUGAGAACCAUUAACUUAGCCACCUCAUCGUAUGCAAAGAAACUUGCUUCUGCUGUUUCGUCCCUUGCAAAGAAGUUUAGUAAAUACCUGUGUAUUUGUAAGGCAAAAGUUUGUGAACCUCAUGGUUGUCAAAAUUCUGGAAUAUAACAAGAGGGUGUUUUGUAACACCUAUGUAGUUGUUUCUUACCUAGGCAAAGCAUUUGUGCCAUAACAUUUUGGACACCUAUAUCCACCAGCAGCCUGUGGAUCCAUUCUUUUCUUACACGGUUUGCAUGUCAUGUACCACCAACUAAUAUUGUCUGGAAUAUUUGUGAUUGUCACUAUGCAUUUGUAACCUUCAUCCUGAAACAUGUUAAACAAAGCUGUAAGAAACCCCAGGGUAUGAGACCAAAAGAAAGCUUAAUGAAUGGGUCAUGUAAAUCAUACCGGAAAUUCGUAUGGGUCUAUACUAUCUAAUUCAGCAAUCGUUUUCAGUGCUAGUGGAGUGUCCUCUGGCUGUGCACGAAGGUUGUCUUCAGAUGGAGGUGGUCGCUCUAUGUACAUCGUUUCACCCCUGAAUCUAUUUAGUUGUGACCAAAUAUAUAAUGUAAGGAUUAAUCUUUUUUAUGAUGCUACUAUUGUUAAGCAUACGAUUAGAAAUUGGAAUUGUUCCAUGUACUGCUUACCUAUUAUAAAAUGGUAAAGCCUCCUGAAUGUCUGGAUUUAGAUAGUAGUCACAGCCACUGCUUCCACUAAGGUACGGUUUAUUCUGUGCGUAAUGUGAGUGCCAUUUUCUUGGUAUGAAACCAACAAAGAGAGCUAUAACUGGUUUGGGAUCUUCUGCAGUGUUCAGAUGAUCGACAUUGAAGUUUAUGGCAUGGUCACCCCAAAGCGUUAUUUUGAGCUCAUCGUCGCUGCACAAAGAAAGUAUAUAACUACUGUGAAAUCACAUUUACAAUACAUAGGGAACAUAAUCUGGUGUAUAUCUGAAGAUUUGUUACUUGUCUUUUUUAUUUUUUCAUACCUCAUAUCCUUUAUGAACACUUCUCUAAGGAUGCUUGCUCUUUCUUUUCCUUUUGGGGUUAUAGUUGUUGCAGAAGUGUAUUUUGUAAUAUAACCCAGGACAUCUGAGAACAAGAUGGAAACCAUAGAAUAAGAAUCAGCUGCUAUACACUGAUAAAGAACCAUGAGGGCAACAUGCAGGAGCUCACCUGUCAAGAUAGGAACCGCUCCUUGUGCAGGCACAAUUUUGUCAAAAGGGGUUAGAGCGUAUACAUAUUUUGGAAAUGUUUUUGGUGGAUUCUCGGCUAAUUUGAUGGAUGUAAACUCUGUGAAUUCAAUCAUCAGAUGAGCACUGAAGGGUUUGUAACAUGCCUUUGCAGGAUUUACUCUGAAUUUACUAAUCACAUAAGUGUUGUCCACCUGUAUAAGAGAAUCCAAUGUUUGGAUAAUUUCUUGGGGAAUCUCAGCAUACAUAGUAUCUCCCUGUGCAGAGAGAAAAAUGGUAUUAUUUUAAAAAUUUAUAACAUGCACAAUACUCUGUUCCCUUGUUUUCUUUUUUUACUUGUUUAACUACUAACUUUAUAUCAUGUGCUGAUAAAUGGUUCUUGGAAACACAUGUGCAACAGUAUUACUGUGUUUAAAUGGACACAAUUGUUAACAAAACGCAAUAAUAUAUGACAAAAUCUUACCCUUGCAUCUGCUAGGACCAAGCCAACGUACAGCGGCGUUCUCUGACCCAUGUUUUCUCUAACUGUCCAUUUCCUCAGAACACGAACACAAACAAAGCCUUUUGGGCGACCCUUCUCCAACUUUCCUAGGUAGCUGGUCUGCAUUCUACAGAUUAUGUAGACAUCGAAGAAGUCAGGUUUGAACCUAUAGUAUAAAAACCUAUGAGCGUUUAAAUGAUAUACAGUAAAAUAUAAACAGUAUGGCUUCUUUGUAGAACAAAAUUAUUACAAAAGAAACACACAGUAUAGAACAAAACACAGUUUACAUUUCUGUGUCCAUCAAACAUGCGAAUGCUUCUUUAUAUAUGGAACUGUACAUAUAUGGAGGCUCAAACUAUUCAGAAGCAGGCCAUAGAGUCAUGCAAGAUCAAAUACCUAUACAUUGUAACUACUAACACCAUGGCUAAUCACAUCUACGAGAAUAAUAUCAAAAGCCCAAAUAGCCAUGACGGUACUAAGAAACAGAAGAUUGUAGUGGUAACUUGCUGACUCUAAUGUGUCGUUGGCAAAUAUGCUAGGACCUCUUUGUACACAACAUUUCUUGUUUUGUUGGUGCAGCCUCCUUGUUCAUCCUCUAUUAGAAUCUUUAGUCCAUCCUUUUUUGUCACGCGUGACACAGCAACAUAGAGCUGACCAUGCGAGAAAACAGGUUUUUUAAGAUAAACGCCCACAGCUGAUAGUGUUUGCCCCUGGCUUUUAUUGAUUGUCAUUGCAUAGCAGACCUUUAUUGGGUAUUGACGUCUUUCAAGUACAAAUGGCCAUUUGUUGGUCUUCAAAGUCAGAGUAAUUCUUGGGAUGAGGACCUUUUUUCCACAGAAUUUUCCAGUUAUUAUUUUAGCUUCUAUCACCAUAUCUCCUAAAGAAACUAUGACCAAUCUAGUACCAUUGCAAAGACCAUCAGAUUGGUUAAGAUUACGAAGAAGCAUGACUGGAGUACCCUUUUUAAGUAUGAGGCGAUGCUGUGGAAAAUUAUUUCCAUUAAGUGAAUUUAAAAAUUCCAGUGGAUACAAUAGGUCAUAUGCCUCAUGGGGCCCAAUAGAUUUGGCAAUACUAUCUGAGCUAAGAUAUUCUUUUUCCAUGUCUGGCAGUAAGGAAACCAUAUAAUCAUUGAUGGCAUCAGUUUGCUCAUUUGUUGGUGUUAAUAUAGCUCUCUGACUGAGGUACGCUGUAUUUUUGUAAUCUGUUAUGAAGUUUGGGUAAGUAGCAUUAACUAUACAAGAUAACUUGUCACCUUCUGUCCUCAAAAGUAUAUCUUCAGGUAUCUCGAUCCAUGAAGGUUCAGAUUCACCUUCCCUUGCAACUGAAUCGACCUUUCCUUCCCCAAUAUCGAGCACCCAUUUACUAAACUCAGCAACUUGUCUCUGGUAAUCUACAUUUGAUGAAGAACAAGAGAGCCGCAUAUUCUGAGUUAAACUGAGAAUCUGUACCUCUGACCAAAGUCGAGAUUUAACUAUAGCAGAAUCGAUAAUCUGAGAUCUGCUUCCUGCUUCUACAACAGGGAGAAUUUGUCUCAAGUCACCACCCAGUACCACAACCUUUCCACCAAAGGGGAUAUUAGCAGCUUGUGAACAAUGCAUGGAUUGUAUAUCACGAAGACUUCGAUCGAGAGCCUCAAAAGCUCUUUUAUCGGUCAUCAGAGCCUCAUCCCAAAUAAUCAAAGAUGUUUCUUCAAUCAAUUCAGAAAGCAUUGUUCCUCUUCUAAUGUCACACACUGAGGUGUCAUCUAGGUCACAUGGAAUCUUAAAUCUAGAGUGUGCCGUGCGGCCUCCUGGUAAAAGCAGCGACGCGACUCCCAAAGACGCAACAGUUAGGACAAUUCUCUGCUGUGCUCUUAGGUAAAUAACGAUACGAUUCCACAGAUAGGUCUUACCAGUUCCUCCAUACCCAGAAACAAAAAAAAAUCUUGGUUCAUUCUUCAUGACCCUGUCCACUAUGGUGGUAAAUGCAUGUGUUUGAUCAGUGUUGAGAGUAACAGUAGGGUUAUCCAUGUCCACUAAAGGAUCAGGAGCAUAUGAAAGUUCCUCAUCAAUCAACCGGUUGUAUGAUGCAGAGUAUGAAUCUCCUGUUUUCUCAGGUAGGUUAAAUUCCCUUAUGUUUCUCCCAUUCUGCACAAAUAUGGAAGCCAGUUCUUCUAGAAGAUAGUCUCUUGCAUUAGCUUCAGGCAUUUGAUAGUUAGGAUCACCAAUAAUAUCUCUAAAUUGGUAUUGGAUAUCAUCAGCCAACAGUUGCCAUACUUUCUCAAAGAAAGCAUUUUCAUCCCCAACCUGGCAGAAGACUAUCAUGGUAACAAAGAGCUUACGUAGUUGGGCUGAGGUAGCCCAACCCGCAGCUUCAUCAAAAGCAUCAUACCACUCUCGGUCAUCCCCAAGAAGACCACGGGAUCUACAUGCUUCUUUAAAAGUUGAAUGAUGUAUAUGGUUAUGAAAUCUAAGGUCUUGGUAGCUAACAGCACCUUUGACAAUGAGCAACAACAUUCUUAAAUAAUACCGUUCCCCUCCAGAAGGAUGAACAUAAUGUAAACGACCAAUUUUUCCUUGCUGACGGUGACGCCUUUCCCAAACUCGAUUUUUGUGUUCCCAUUUCCACCUUGAAGGAAACUGUGAGUAUGUAAGGACCCGAGCAUCAGGGUUCAACUGAUUGCAUGUGAACCAUUCUGUUAGCAUAGUUUUCCUUAAAAAUUCCUCGGAAACAACUCUAUCCAUUCUAGCUCUAGCACUAAAUGUAAUGAAAUUUUCAUUAGGUAGAUGUACAGGCAUUCUUUCAACAGCCGGAUGGUGUCUAUGAAUAUCAUAACCCAAUAUUCGCCAACAGGCAUCUUGCUCACAAAUGUAGUGACAAUCAAGAUAUUCCCUAACUUCAUUAAUUGUGUUUGUAUCUGUAUCAUAAGGGGCGGACUCUGCUCUUCUUACUCUUUCAAGAUAAACCUUACUACAAUCAGCACCCUUUGUCACAUACUUGAAUAAAUAUUUGAUGAAAGUGCUUUUGUUGCACCAUUCAACAUUAAUAUGAGCCUGGUAUUUCUUAAGAAGACUCAUAUUGUAUGGAACAACCCAUCUAUUGUCCAUAUGCAGACCUCCUUUUUCAAUAUAAAGACUACUCUCACGGCGUCUGUACAUGGCAAAUCCGUCAGAAUUUACUGAAGUCUCUUGAUGAUAUAGUUUUGGAAAAUGUUUGGAACAUCUCCCAGCCUUCAUGCAAGGGCAAACUGGAUUGUGUGACCCACAAGGCCCAUGAAUCAUGUGCUCAGCAACAAGAGCAUAACCAAGUGGGUCAUCUCUUGGAUCAGGUAUCUCAGCAGUAACAUAUGAGUCAAUCAUUGUAGGAGUUGGAUCUGAUGUGUCAGCUGUAGUCCAUAAAAUAAUAUGCGCAUGUGGGAGGCCUCGUUUCUGGAAUUCUACGGUGUGCAACACUUAAAUUCAAACAAUUGAAAUUGACAUAGAUAAGGUUAUCAACGAUAGGUAAGACCUUCAUGUUCUAAUAGCGAGGAGUAUGACAAAGAUAUAUAUAAGAAUACUACCUGCGUUGCAUGGUCCAAAAGCACGACCAUCCUUGAUAUCGUGCAAGAGUUCCUCUAGCUUCAUAUUGAAUACUCGAACAAUGAUGUCAGACCUAUCACUUGGUUUCUGACCAGCAUCAAAUAUGGCCUCAUUGAUCUCAAACCACUUAGGAUUACAUGUGAAAGUGACAAAGUAGUCGGGAGGACCAUAUUCUCGACAAAUGGCAAUCCCAUCAUGAUAGUUUUGUAUCAUGUACCGUCGACCUCCUGUAUGUGAUGCUGGUAAUACUGUCAUCUUUCCCAUCUCAGCACCUUCAGUGCAGCCUCUAUUAACAGCAUCACAGAUACCCUGAAUACUUUCCAUUCUAAUGUCUUUCUGAUGCUUCAUUAUAUACCAUAGUCUAUUCUCAUCGACACAUGCACGUGCAUCAACCUUUGCCUGGCUGGAUAGGGCACCGUAACAGAGAUAAGGAUUUGGCUGAUUCUUUCUAUAAUGAAACAUGUAGCAAAAAUAGUCUUGCAUCGUGACUUUUGUGUACGAAUUUUGUUGAGUUGGUCUAACACCCGCAUACAAAACUCCAGCCUGAAAGCCACGCUCACCAAAUGGAAACAACAAUGGAUACUGAAGAGCCAUAAAAGCAGGAUGGAGAGCUGAUAUUUGUUUCAGUUCGUUUGAACGUGUUUCAAUGAUGAUGUCACGUUCAAAAGACUCUGGAGAAAAACCACCAACAAUAAGCAUAGCUAACUGAUUAACUGUUGGUAGGCUAUACUGAGGAGGAUCCCCAUCUCUAGGCGCAACAAUUCGAACCACAAAGUCCUCAUCACCAUGAUCAACCAACCUUUCUCUAGCCAUUCUGAACUGCUGUGUUAGAGGAUUAUAAUCAUCAAGCAUACGUAUCAGUGACUGAACUAUGCAAGGAUCUAGGUCUGUACCCCUUUCAUCAUCACGUGAUAGGCAUUGCAUUCUAUUUUGUACCUCAUUAGAAGUGUCAUAGACAUAUAGCUGAAUAAAUUUAGGUGAAGUUCCAUCUUGAGGAAGUAAGGAGCCAAUCCGGUGAUGGACCUGACCACAGAUCUUGAAAAUAGGGGGCCCACGGCCAUCAUUCAUCAUUCGAUCAAUAUUGGCCCCCAUUGACGUGAAUGAAAAAAGACAAUUGUACUGUCUUAUGUUCUUCAUAAACUUAUUGGAAAUGACACCUCCAUCAAACCGUGCCAAUGAGGCCAAUGGUUCGGGUCGUGGCUGGAACUGUGGUAUAACAACCUUACCGCCUCUACAACAAUUGUUGUACACUACUCUAUGAGAACGCUGGGCUGAAUCGUGGCCAACUCUUUCAGCAUGCCAAAAGACCGCAUGACAGUGUGGGCAUUCAUAGUCUGGUGCUCCGUAGUAAGAUCUUUGUCGAUAUGAAACUGUGUUGAAGGAAUAGAGGACAAAACAAGGAAAGGCAGGUUGUCAUAUGACCAACGACAACCGAGGUAUGCAAAGAACAGGAAGAGCGCAAGAAUUGUAAGGACAUGAACAAGGCCAAAAAGACACAGAAAUUGAAGGAGUGUAUACCUUUGAGAGCAUAAACAAAGGCUUCGUCAAAUUGGCCACAUGUGAGAUGAUUGCUGCUGUGCCAGGGGCCUCCUAUUGUAUUAUGAAGAAAAUGGUCUUACAAAAUUGGCUGUUACAGUACAUAGAAGCAAUGCUAUGCACCAGAUGAUGAACAAAGGAUAAAAUGUGUACGACCUGAAAGGGCGUACAUGACCAACAAUCUUACCUGCCCAAACUAAACGGUGUUGAUCUAAAAGUCUUCUUCUUUUGUGUCUAGAGGUCGUAGGAUCAAAAUCUGAUCUAGCACUGGACGACCUUUGUGUUAGUACAUCAGUGUAAAUAGUGUAAGUACUACCUUUAAAUGUACAAGACAAGGGAACCAAAACGCAUUAACCAGCGUAAGCAGGCUACAUACUGAUCCGUUCACAAGACGGUUCUACAGAUACCGGCACAGCAGUAUGUAUGUGCACUGAGGCUGAAGCUGACAAUUAGUAAUAACACUGUUAAUAGAGACAUAAGAACCAUAGUAACGGAAAGAACGCAUAGUACAACAUUUGCGGGAGAUUACAUACAGCUCCCUGCAUGGUCUAAGGCUACAUAGUCUGCCGCAAAGGUGGUGGCGUUCACCGAUGCAGAGCCUGUUAGAUUAAAAUAUAGACAAUUAACAUACAUAAACAAAGGAAAACACAAUGGAAACCAACGCUGCUCUAUUACAAUGAGCCUAGAUGAUACGUACAAACGCGAGGAGUGUCCAUCGAGCCCUGAAUAUUCAGCAACAAACAGCACAACAGAAGUGAACAAACUAUCCAUACAUUGGACAGAAAUAAACCAACUAUCCAUACAUUCGAAAAUACAGACGAAACCCAAAAAAACUUUUUACAAAGAAAGAAGCAUCGACCACUGUACAGGCCAUCGCCACAAUUCCAAAUAGCAAACAAAAUAGACAAGGUCCUUGUAAAAGAAUAACAACUACAAAAAAAAUCCUUCGCUAUGUUUCUUGGUCAAAUAUUUGUACGUACUGUGAACAGGCGUAAGCCACAUAACUAUAUACAUUUGUUCGUAAAAUAGCACAUGGCAUCCAAGGUGCGGAUGAAAUAAAAGGACAAAUGUAAUGAACUCAGAAUGUGCAGAAUAUAGGACAUGACUGAGAAUUCAAUAGAGUACAUGCACAGAUAUACAGCAAAAACAUGGAAGACACAAACAUUUUAUUGCUGAAAACAGGUAGCAUACAAAUUGGAAGCAGCACUGGGCAUAGCACUGAGCCCAUGCACCAACUGCUGUGCAGAACCCAACAAGGCGGAGUCAUAUCGAACUCCCUGGUUUGAACUGUUUAUUACAAGCCUAGCCAAUUCAACACCUCUAUUAGCUACAGGAAGUAGAUACUGGGCUAGAGCUCUAUACAACAUCAACCCAUGCGCACUGUAGUCCAAGAUAACAAAGCCAAAUCUAUCUUGCAAAGCUACAAGCGCUUGCAGAGCAGCUGCCUCAUAAGCCACUGAGCGCUCCAGACCACAAUUUGCCCAGAAGAAAAGCCUGUGUGAGUUGAGUUCACAACCUAAACCAGGUAACUCCACCUCAAUCCCAUACAAGGAAGUACCGUCGUCAAGAAUUUGAUGUAUAGUAGAUAUGUAAGGAAGGCAGCAACAAUUUGCAACGCGCUGAAGAACAGCGACGUAGGAGAUAUGUACGUCAAACAUUCUGAACCGAAAAUGGACCUGCCUUUUUGCAAUAGAAAGCAGCAAGCGCCCCCUUGCACCACGCCUACUAAGAAAGGAACAUCAAGAAAAACAAAGGCUGGCACAAUUUUGACAAACAAAGAAGAAUGAACGGCCUAGAUCCUUGGAAGUAGUUUUUAGGGAGAAAAGAGAAGGAAAAAAUCUGAAAACUCUCCGAACCACCUCUAUCGGAUUUUAGAAUCUUAAAAAAACUAAUACGAUGCUAAUAUUUUUUGUUUGGGCCAUGGGAGAGGCCAAAAAGGGGAAAACCCCCCCAAAAAAAAGACGUAAGCAAAACCAAACAACAAUAUUAGUCACACAGCAUAUAGGGUUAACCCAGAGUAAAAUAGCAACAAAAAAAUCUAAAUCUAAAACAUAGGGGGAAAUAUAUACCUGAACUGAACAAGACAAUAGAGAACGACAAGAACUAUGGUUGAGUCCCAGUUGGAGCCAAUGUGUAAACAGGCGGACACCGCGAAUACAAAACCUGCAAUAAGAAAAAAAAAAUGUGAACCAAUGGAAAGCAUUAGAAUGCAUAAGCAGAAAGACACCAAAGGUAAACGUAGAGUAACUAAAACUAACCCCGCUAACAACGAAAAGAAACGGAAGAACAAUGGACGGAGCAGGCUCAAAUCCACCGACAAAGGACGAACGGAAUCGAAAGAAUGUAAAAACAAGAUAAGAGUCUUACAAGGCAGAGGAGGGAAAACAAAGGCACAACGACAGCCCCAAACAGAUUGGGUGGACGUCGCAGACAACCGGCGCCGACCCCCGGCGGGCACACGCAGCGAGGACGAAGCGGCCGCGCACAGCCGUACCAGGCGCGUGCAGCGAGGACGGAGCGAUGGCGGCAGAAAACCGGCGCGGACCUCCGGCGACCAGACGCAGCGACAACGAAGCGGCGGCGCACACCCCUGGCGACGCCUGCAGCGAACACGGAUCGCUGAAUUCGAGGUGACCCAACGGUGCGGACACCCGGCGGGGUCCCCCGCCGGGCGCGCGCAGGACGAACCGAGCGCUGGAACCGGGCGGCGGGCGUGGAAUACAAAGAGCAGGGAGGAGCGGCGGGCAACCCGGCGAGACGCACGAGAAUAAGCAGGAAGCGGCGACGCGGAAGAAUACGGACGGAGGAAACCAGGAAAAGUACCGUGGCAACAAGCUGCUUUGACGAAAAUGACCCCGGUAGGUGUCCCAACAAUUAAAGCGACGGGGAAGUGGGCUUCGACAAGAAACGACGGUUACGCAGAAGCUAAAGAAGCGGGACCAAAACCUGAAUCAGCAAAGGAAUCAACCAGAAGCCAAACAGUAAUGUAGAAUCGGAUAUAAGCAGAAGGAUACGGAGAAAGCUGGAGCCGUCGGUAGAAAAGAUCCAACGACCGGAGUUUUAAAGACAGACGUGGAUAGCGCUUCUAAUCUAGGAGCCAACGUAGUUUGUAGAGUUAAAUACAUGUCCACUUUCGCUAUUGCUGAUCAUCAAGGGAACUUAAGAUCGCUUUAAAAGGCGAGAUAAGUCAAUCAAGAAUUAAGUGUCCUCACUCCUCACCUUAAAAAAGUGAUUAUAUGACAUCCCAAGAGCUCUACACACACUGAUCUUUGUCUUCAAAAGUCAUAUUUUGCAUUUGAAGCCUACUACUAUAAAGGUUGUCAAAGAGUUGCAGUCUCAAAACCAAGAAAGGAAAAAGAUAAGGAAUCGUCAUGUGAAACGGGGUGAAGUACACGAACUAAAUAUUCUCGAGAUCACAGAUAUAAAUCGAAACUUGCCCCCCUUCAUCCUCUUGAGGGGACAACAUGGUCGGACUACUCACCCCUAUCGUUGGCCCUCUCAGAGCAGGUACAAUAAGCCAUGUCAGUUUGGCUAAUAGCCAAGACAACUCAGCAAAGUCUGAUGUAGAAGAGAGAGAAAAUAGGAGAGAGAGGGUGAUGGUCGACGCAUUUGUCGACCAGCUCGUCACAAGCUCCAAGGCUGCAUGCGAGGGUUGCAUGUGUGGUCCUGUCCUACUUGCCAAUGAGAGCAUAGAUGGAGGGAGGUAGUGGCGGGUCCCACACUAUUAAAAUAGUUUUGGAAUAUGUAAAGAGCCAUGGUUGUUGUAUAUAUUGUCUACAAAAACUAGUUUACACAUGAUAUGGCUUGGCUAUUAGACAAGCUUAUUGGCCUUGCUCUCAUACCUCUCUCCCCCCCACCUUGUCGUCACUAGAGCAGAUUGUCGGAUGUCCGCGCGACUGCCACGAAGAAGGUGGUAGGACCACAGGAGGGGGUCUACUUCAAGUUGAGGAUGGUGCGACCAGAUCUGUCUCGAGCAGCCAAGCAACUCCGAUGACGAUGACAUGACCCGCAUCGAUGGCUGUGGCAUCCACACCGGGCUCGAUCGCAUGGCAGCAUGCAUGGGUCAAAGAGGAGUAGACGGAUUUGGCGCAUGCGACCAAGCAGGCCAACCCCGAUGACAAUGUAGAGGGACAACAGCCAAGCUAUUUGUUGUGAGGAGCGGGUGACCUAUUGUCGGAGUGGGGAACCUACAUCACCCCACACAUUGCCAUCGCCAACCCCUUUGGCUACUCCUGCAUGCCUCACCGCCAUCAGAGCCGGUGGCUGGAGCAAGGAUGGCGCCGGUGGAUAUUAGGAAAAGUAAUAUAACAAACCACAAUUAAAUAUAUAUUAUGGGUAUUGCGUGAAAAAAUAAUGAUAGGUUCUGAGCGAACAAUCAUAUAUAUUAUAGAAUAUAUAGCAGGGAUAUUACAUGAAAACAUAAAUGUGAUAAGUACUACGUGAACAAUUAAAAAUAUAUCAUAGAAUAUAGCAAGGGUGCCAUUUAUAUACUAAGUAAACAACCGGGAAAAAAGAAAUCCUUAUAAUGGGCCGAAAUAUGUGUGUGAAUGGGCCUUCUUCAUCCGGUCAGACCAAAUAUAGAAGCAAAAUAAUUAAGGAAAAAGUCCACUUUAGGUCCCUCAACUUUCACGAAAGUCUGAUUUUCAUCCUUGAACUCUAAAACCGGAUAAAAUACAUCCUUCAACUUUUAAAUCCGUGCACAUUACAUCCCUGACCUGGUUUUAAAAGCGGUUUUGUCUUUCUCUUUUUAUUUAUUUUGGCUAAUUUUUUUGAAAAAUCAUAGUAAAUCAUAUAAAAAUCAUAAAAUAGAAAACUCAAUUUUGUUGGACUUCAGAUGAGUACAUCUACACAUUGAGUAUAUAAUAUAGUAUGUUUUAGUACAAAUUUUUUUUUAUGCAUCUUUAGAUUUAUGCUUUUCUAUAAUUAAUUAGACUAAUUAUAGCUAUAGUUUCUAUGGUCCAAUUGUGAUGAAAAUUAUAUAGUGGGCUAAUUAUUCUAUGAUUGAGUUGUAGUAAAAAUUUCAUACUCAUUAGAUCAUGUAUUACUUAGUUAUAGAUUUAUUCAAGUUUAUGCUUGUUAAAUCUUAAUAAACCUAUAACUAAGUUAUACAUGAUCUAAUGAGUAUGAAAUUUUUACCAUAGUUUAAACAUAUAAUAAUUAGCACAACAUUAAAAAAAUUCACCACAAUUGGGCCAUACAACAUAUAGCUAUGAAUUAUUCGAAUUAAUUAUAGAAAAACAUAGAUCUAAAGGUACAACAAAAAAGUUGUACUAAAGCAUACCAUAUAAUAUGUUCACUGUGUAGAUCUACUUAGCUGGAGUCCAACAAAAUCAUAUUUACUAUUUUAUGAAUUUUAUGUGAUUUACUAUAAUUUUACAAAUAUUCAACAGAAAUAAAUAAAAAUGAAAAAGACAAAACUGCCUUCAAAACCGCUCAUAACCAUGUCAGAGACGUAAUAUGCAUGGUUUUAAAAGUUAAGAGAUGUAUUUUAUCCGAUUUUGAAGUUCAGGGAUGAAAAGUAGACUUUUGCGAAAGUUGAGCGACAUAAAGUGGACUUCUUCCAAUAAUUAACUUGGACCAAAUACAGUUGCCUGGGCCACACCAACAAGAAAAGCACGCCUGACUGGAAGAUUGCCGCAGACUUUUUUUUUUGCCUCGUUCAUCCUUUUUCAUAUGGACAGAUAUUACAUCUUUCUAAAAAAAAUAUAUAUCUAUAUCUAUACCUACUAAUAAAUUGUGAAAAUUUCAAUCUGCCCUAAACUUUUCUUCUGCUCCCGUCUCGGCCAGAAUCCGUCUCUCCGUCCGUUUAAGGCUUGUAGGAGAGAAAAAAAAAUAGAAUAUUUUCUAGGUUCCCAAUGCAAAUCCAUUCCGCUAGCCUCUGCCGUCCGCUCUUAAAAGAGCACAAAGAAAAUAAAUUUCUUUCAUCCUAUAUCCUAUUAAUUUUCUUUUCUUUUAUUCUUUAAUUUGGCUAAAAAUUAAUAAAUGCAUAGUAAUUCAUAGAAAAUCUAAAAAUUACAAAACAAAUUUUGUUCAGCUCGACAUAUAUAGAUUCAUGCAGUAAACAAAAAAUACGUGCAAAGUGUUUGUCCUAUUAAUUUACCUUUUCUUUUAUUCUUUAUAUCAGCUGAAAAUUAAUAAAUGCGUAGAAAUUCAUAAAAAAAUCUAAAAAUUACAAAACAAAAUUUGUUCAGCUCCACAUAUGUAGAUCUAUGUAAUAAACAAAAAAAUUAGAAAUUUUAGUAUAUUUUUUUGCUAGAGAUGCAUGCCUAUGCUUUUUAGUGUAAAAUUUAAAUUGUACUCCCUCCAUCCCAAAUUGUAAGUCAUUCCAAGAAUCUUGGAGAGUCAAACUUUUCAAAGUUUUACCAAAUUUAUAUGAUAAAAUAAUUAUUAUUAUGAUACCAACUAAAUAUCAUUAGAUUCUUCCUUAAUUAUAUUUUUAUAGUAUACUCAUUUUACGUUAUAAAUUUUAGUAUUUCACUCUAUAAUUUUGGUCAAACGUGAAAAUACUUUGACUCUCCAAGAUUUUUGGAAUGACUUACAAUUUGGGAUGGAGGGAGUAGUUAUCUUGCUCCAAUUUGGGAUGGAGGGAGUAGUUAUCCUGCAUAUCUCACUGAUUUACUAAUUUAUCUAAAAUUAUGUUUGCUAAAUAGUUUAGCAUCAAUUUAAGUGUGUAAAAAUAUAAAAUAGAAACUUCUACUAUCUUGGCACGAUUUGUUGUUAUAUCAUAUGAACACUUCAUAAUUAAGCCUAUGUAUUUAUAAUCUACAUACAUUUAACUGAUAUAUCAUAUUUUAUAGGAAUCCUAAUCUAAAUAAAAAAAUAAAGCUAGCAACAAACUUCUCAUGUUUUAAUAUAAUACUAUUUUUAUUAUUAAAUAAAUAUGUCUCCAAGCUACAUAAUACUGUAAAUAUUAACUAUCUCAUACCAUAGAUGUCAUGGUUAUCAAUAAAAUAAAUUAUGGACUUUAAAUUUCAUAAAAAAGAUAAAUAUAAAUAGAUAUGUAAUAUUAUGUCCUUAUUUUUAUGACCAUUUGAUGUUUUUUUCUCGUUGCAACGCACGGGCAUAUUUGCUAGUAUAUGCACAAAUUGCAACCAGUUUGUCCUUUGACAAAUUCAAUCAAUAAUUAAAGUCAACUACCGCUACUGUGGUAUUAUGAGCUAGUGUCGUCGUCCUAAAGGGAUCCUGAACCUUAUAUGCACUGUCACUCUUGUGGUUAACACACAUGAAGCGUGUCUGAACUCUGAAUGUGGGUUCAGCUUCUUUUCGUAUGGUAGACAGUGAAGGUGCCGAGACUGCCUAAUGUGGGUUCUGCCCAUGCUCAACUGAAUGCUGCACUGCACAAUGGUGAAUGUACACAAGGGAAAGGGUGUCGUAUAUAUGUAUGCUCGUCGUUGGCAAAGUAUCUUAUUAUCUGCUGCUCGAGUUCAGCCUAUUCGCUUGAGCUUAUCAUCUGAAUCUGUCAGCUAUUCAGCAGUGUUUUUCUUUUACAAUAAAUUAUUCAAUAGUACUUACUGUCAAUUAUCAGCCAAGCAGUGUUAAGUAAGGCUUGAACAUUUUGCUCAUGCAUGACAAAUAAAGGAAUGCCUGACAGUUGGAUUAGUUGUUACAGUGUUAAGUAAGGCCCUGCUGCACACCGUCCCAGCUCCAGUUGACGCCUUCUCAAGGUGUGUAAAGCGGGAUGACAUUGAUCGUCUAGAAGAGGUAUGUAAAGCGGGAUGACAUUGAAAGAGAAAGAAAUAGGCAAGAGAAAUAUGAUGGAUGUCGGGUAAUUAAGAGACGGUCUGACAGAAUGAGAAAAUUCUCUUAUAGACAGCAUCUUUUAUUACAGAGAUAUCGUCUACUCCUUCCGUUCCAAUUACUAAGAUAUCGUCUCUCCUUCCGUUCCAAUAUACAUCUAAAUAUAAUCAUGUAUAGCAAAAUAGAUGUACUAAAAAAAGUCAAAACGACUUAAAAUUUACAACAUAGAGAGUAUUAUGCAAUAUCUUGUCUACUCUUUUUGUAGAGACCGGAUAUUAGUUUAUCCAUUAUCUAAAAAAAAUAUCUUGUCUACUCUUUUGCCCAUCCCAAAAUAAAUGCACAUGUCACAUCUCGAGCAGUCAAUCAAUCUUAAAUUUGACCAAACAUAUACAAAAUAUACUAAUAAUAUUCAUGAAAUCAAAUAACUAUUAUUAGAUUAUUAAUCACAUCAUAUGUUCUUAUAGUAAAUCUAUUUAGGAUACUAAUGUUAUUUAGAGAUGCAUUGCCUUAUUUUGGGAUGUAGGAAGUAUUAUAUAUACUUGUCUACGAGACUACGACUAACAUAGACGUAUUUUAGAGACAGCAGCUGUUACACGCAUGCCCUCAACAGCUAAGCUGCUAAUCGAUCCUUUGCUUAGCCCUUGUUUAGUUCCACUCAAAAUCCAAAGACUUUUCAAGAUUUUCUGUCAUAUCGAAUCUUACGGCACAUACAUAGAGCAUUAAGGCCUUGUUUAGUUCGCAAAAAUUUUCAAGAUUCUUCGUCACAUCGAAUCUUUGGUCGUAUGCAUGGAGCAUUAAAUAAAGACAAAAAUAAAAAUUAAUUACACAGUUUACCUGAAAUUUGUGAGAUGAAUCUUUUGAGCCUAGUUACUCCGUGAUUGGAUAAUGUUUGUCAAAUAAAAACAAAAGUGCUACAGUAGCCAAAAAACCAAAAUUUUGCGAACUAAACAAGGCCUAAAUAUAUAUAAAUAAAAAAUAACUAAUUAUAUAACUUAUAAUUUGCGAGACAAAUUGUUUAAGCUUAGUUAUUUUAUAGUUAUAUAAUAGUUAUUAAAUACAAACGAAAGAGUUACGGUAUCUAAAUGAAAAAAAAUCUAAACAAGACCUUGUUGUCCGGCAAGUGGCCCGGCCAAUCCACUUGCCAUCAUAUUUCCAGGGCCAUUUCGUGUUUUGGUGCCCAUUUAAUAAUAAUAAUUAUAUAUAUUUGAUAUAUUGAUUGAUGAAAGAUUGAAAGGGAGGAAUUAUGAUUUUAGGGUGAUUAUUGCAUUGGGUCAUGGGUAUCACUGCAUUGAGGCUGAUGAUGUUGAAAGAUUGACAAGGACAUGCAAUUUCUCCCUCAGUCAUGACACAAGUGGGGGUUGUGUCUAUUUUGAGUGUGUUUGAUAGGCUUGCAAACCUGACUUUUUGCUUGAGUGGGCUAGGUUUGAGUUGUUUGAUUGCCUGGCCAGCCUCUAGAGCCAGCUCUAUCUAACCUGCCGUACAGUCAGGGCCAAGCCCGAGUAGAACGUUGUUGUUUCUUCUCGAGUGAUUCAUUCACGUCACCUUCCAGUCUUCACUCCCAUUCUCUUCCGCUGCAGUCCUCUCCGCCGACGGUGUUCCUCUGCUCAUCCUCCCCGCCAGUGGUGGUCCUCUGCUUGUCCCCGUCAAUCUCCGCUAUAGAUCAAGCCAUGUUGACCAAGGGAAAGCUCGGGGCUGUGGCUGCUAUGGAGGCUCUGGCAGUGCAUCUCUUCCUAUGCUGCAAAGUCGGCUGUGUGCGCCCCCGUUCGCGACGCCCACACCAGUGGCGGGGCAUAGCCACAGAGGCGGCACCGGCCACUGGCAGUGCAACGGGAGUUCUGGCACAUGGAGUCCGCACCACCUGCAGAUCCACACAUCACUCACCGUGCACCAGGCGAAGCUCUGGCACUCAUGUCGUCCGUGGUCGCCGAGCGGGACAAGCUUUGGCGUCACCACCACUCCCUCGUACGUGCUGCUCCUCCACCACCAGGCUGCUGCAAGUCCGAGCCUUGAUGCUACUAGCGUCUUGUGCGGGCAAGAGGAGGAUGCUCUGUUACUACUGCUGCCACAGUCAUCAUGAAGAACACAACCAAAGUUGAUUCAGUUUCGUCAGUUAGCUCGUUUCAGGCUCUUGAUUUAGUUAGCUCGACUGAAACAACCAUCUUCUGCCAUCUCUAUCUUCCGACCCAGUUAGCAAAAAUCUAAACCAAUUGCACUAUAUUGUAGAGCUACAUGAAUGCUGCAACAUUGCUUAAAGGUUCAAAGUCUAACUUAGAUCAGAGUGGUAGGUAGAGAGCUCUAAAGUUGGGUAUUCGCAAACUGAAAUUGACAUUCAGUAAAUUCAGUACAGACAAAAGGUAACCUUACCUAUUAUAAAAAUAUGUGACUUUAUCAAAACAAAACAUGCAACCAAACACACUCUAUAGCUAGCCAGACUACUAUAAUACAGACAACCAAACAACUAGAGAUUGGUUUGUUGGGAACAGGCUUAAGUUGCCCAGACUAAAUUUCUAGCCAGGCUAGAAGUUAGCCUCGGAACCAAACACACCCCUUAUUGUAGCAUCCUACGCAAGUUUAAAAUUCACAAUGAAAAAAAAUCAAGCAACUAAGAUAUACGAUAUGUAUCUACCGUAAUCUCCAUGGCGAAAUGGACAGGUGAUAAGGAAAAGUAAAGGUACGACUUGCUAAGAAACACAAAAUAUUAUGAGAAUAAAAACUCAAAGGGUCUAUUCAUUUGUCUAAAAAGUUAUGAUUAGUAUUUCUCAAUUUUUUUGUCCUAGAAUUAUUUCAUAGUAAUGUUAAAAAAUAGAUAGCCUUUUAGGAUGAAAUGCUUGACCAUGUCUGUCUGACAGAAGGGGGCAGGCACCCCACAAGUCAUCGACUGUCCAUCUAUCCACGUAGGAGUAGAUAACUUAGCGUCGAAGUCAACUGCGCCCUUUUAGGCCCUGAUUACACAGUUUAGUUGAGAAUCGCGAGACGAAUCUUUUAAGCCUAGUUACUCUAGAUUAGCCUUAAGUGCUACAGUAACCCACAUAUGCUAAUGACAGAUUAAUUAUGCUUAAUAAAUUUAUCUUUAAGUUUCCUGACGAGUUAUGUAAUUUGUUUUUUUAUUAGUUUCUAAAAAACCCUCCCGACAUCCUUCCGACACAUUCGAUGUGACACCCAAAAAAUUUUCAUUGCCAGUCUAAGGGCCUGUUUAGAUUGGGAACGAAAAUUUUUUCAGUGUCACAUCGGAUAUGUCGGAAGGAUGUCGGGAGAGGUUUUUAGAAACUAAUAAAAAAACAAAUUAAAUAGCUCGUGAGGAAACUGCAAGACAAAUUUAUUAAGCAUAAUUAAUCUGUCAUUAGCAUAUGUGGGUUACUGUAGCACUUAAGGCUAAUCAUGGAGUAACUAGGCUUAAAAGAUUCGUCUCGCGAUUCUUAACUAAACUGUGUAAUUAGUUUAUUUUUUUAUCUACAUUUAAUGUUCUAUGCAUGUGUCCAAAGAUUCGAUGGGAUGGAUGAAAAAAUUUUGGGUAGGGAACUAAACAGGGCCAACAGCCCCUUAUCUGCUUCCACAAAAAUCCCAUCGCCGGCCUGCCAAAUUCAAUUCACACGGCACGGCAUCUUUCCACCAAGAUUUUCCACAAAACACCCUAUAUACAUAAAGAAUCACAGUUCUACCCUUAGCAUCAUUCUUGUUCCAGCAAAAGACCUUAUCUACGCUAUUACCAAUCAACUUCGAGGUCUCUUCUGCACUUUUUUCCCACACAUACAGGACCGAGAAGUCGAGAAGCUAGGGAGGGGGGACACGACGCCACCGAGAGGGAACGCGAGGUCGCCAUCACCAUGGGGGGAGGAGUCAUGCGCACCGCCGCGAAGGUCGGCAUCGCCGGAGGCGCGGCGGCGGCGGCAAAGAGCGGCCGGUUCCGCCACGCCGCACCGGCCUUCGCCACGGCCGCCGCCGCCGCGGGUUCUGAGGCGGCGCCGCUUGUCUCCGCCUCCGGUGGCGAGGCGGUGCCCCCCGCUACGGCGCAGUGGGCGGCGUCCUGGGAGCUGGACGACUGGGAGUUCGCGGACUGGAGGGACGACUCCGCCGCGGCGGCGGUGGUGGUGGCGGAGAGGGAGGCCACGGCAGCGGCCGCGAAGCCCAGGCUGGUCUUCGCGCCGCCGUCGAGGGAGGAGGCCGAGGAGGCCACGAGUGAGCUCAGGGACGCCAUAGAGAGGUGAAAGAUCGCGUCUUUCGCAAUUCCCCUCUGUGGAUUCGUCGAAUUGGAUGGGGAAGGAGAGAAUUUUGUAUUCGUUAUCUCGACUGCUCGAUCUAUUCAUCCUGACAUGUUAGGCUGAAAUAAUUCUUUUUGACGGGAUUUAGGAAGCAUCUGAAUAUCUGAUUAGGCUUUUAUAGGGUUAUAUUAGACGAUGGGAUUCGAUUCCCCAACUGGUGAUAAGAACCCUAGGCCUAACAACGCAAUAGAUUUAUUGGAAAGGAGAAUCCGAUGCUUGCUAUUCAGUUCACUCAAAUUGUCUAGUUGAUGCAGCCUCGUAAGCUAAGAAAGCUUCCUACCAAUUUAGUUGUCGUAUUACAUGUUUCAUCCAUGUGCAUCUUACAUACUCAAGUAUGAAAGUGUGAUGCUCUGAGGUACUUGUACCUUCUCGUACAUGUCUAUUGAUGCCCUCAACAACACUUUGAUGUCAUUACAGUCUGUUGCGUCUGCACCGGAAAUACUUUGCUUCACAUUUGGUUCAUGCAUAUUCACCCUAUCCUCACAAAAUAAUUUGAUACAGGGCCUAUUUCAAUGAGACACCAGUUGAGGUUGUUAAGGAACAGGAUAAAGAGUUUAAUAAGCAGGCAACCGAUGCCAUAAUUCCUUCCAUGCCUGGACAUGUGGUCCAAGCUUUUACAUUGCUGAAAUCAAGCCCGGAGGCUCAGGUUUGUGCAAUGGCCCUUGUAAACAUACUGCACUAUGCCUGAGGCACGUUCGAGAAAGAAAAAAUAAACAUACUGCACUACUAAUUUGGGGAAAUCAAUUAUUUGUCACCCUUAGAUGCCAUUCCAAGGGGGAAAUCGUUUGUCACAUACGUCACCUUCAUACAAUGCUACCUAGUUUGUUGAAUUUUAUUAGGAUCAUUAUGUAUUGUGUUGCCAGUGGUUUGGUGUGUUAUCUACCUGCUAUAAUUAUGAAUUUUUAGAAGAAACCCUUUGACAUAUGUUUGUUUAUUGCUCCUGUCUGAUCUUCAAUAGUGAGUUCUGUGGGCAGUCUUUGCUUUUUAGUUACACAGUUAAAUAUGUAGCUGUAUCACGUAGUUUAUCUUAGCUGAUGAUCAUAUAACCGUACAACAAUUGAUGAAAACUGUUUCUUUUGACUCUUGAUCUCUAGAGUGUUGUAGCCUCCCUUGCAUCAGAUAGAAAUGUCUGGGAAGCAGUAUUGAAGAAUGAGAAGGUUAUGGAAUUUUACAAGAAUCACCAGACAAGUAUGUACCUCAGUGAUUCUUUAGCCAAAGUUAUAUGUAUCACAUUCAUCAUUUCUACCAACCUGUAUGACCAUUGUUGUUGUCCUCUGCUAUGACACAGCUCUAGUUGAGACAUUCCCUGAAGAAGCAGCCACAGUAGAGUCGCCGGGGAAUUUUGAAGACGCCACCUCUGAAAAUGCAUCCAACACUGAACUCCCCACUGGCUCACCUUUCUCUGAUUUUGUGGACAAUGCGAAGAAGAGAGUGAUGGAUGUGAUCUAUAAUAUAACCGACUUUUUCAAGGACUUGUUCGACUCAGCGGGAGCACAGGACGGAGCAGGCCCUUCAGCUGAGAAGGGUCCUUCUGCAGCAGAGAUGGCUCUCGGCGGAUCGUUCAUGGCUCUGGCCAUAGGGGUCAUCCUAGUUGUCCUGCUCAAGAGGGCAUGAUAGCUCAUGAGUACCCUCUGGGACUCAUGGUACUUCAAAUCUGUCGAAAAUUACUUGUCUAUCGUAUGGUCAAGAACUCUGAAUGUAUUGUACAGCUUGUGUCCUUGUCCUUGGAAACAGUACAAUAAAAGACUAUCUAUGCUAUAGUAUUUUGUGUGUAUCUUGGUUUUCUGAACCUCUGAUGUGCAGACACCGUAAGAGCCAAAUGUUGUGCUUGAUUAUUACAUUUGCAAAUUACAGUAUAGUAACAUGACAAAGGUCGUCAUUUGUUUGACCUGAACUGAACAUCUUGUCAUGAGUAUAGGUCUUGUUUAGUUCCCAAAAAAUUUUGCAAAAUUUUUCAGAUUUUCCGUCACAUCGAAUCUUUAGACACAUGCAUAAAGUAUUAAAUAUAGACAAAAAUAAAAACUAAUUGUACAGUUUGGUCGAAAUUGACGAGACGAAUCUUUUGAGCCUAGUAGUCUAUGAUUGGAUAAUAUUUGUCAAAUACAAACGAAAAAGCUACGGUGUCGAUUUUGCAAAAUAUUUUAGAACUAAACAAAGGCCAUGCUGAAUGGGUAGAAAAAAAAUGAAAAUGCAAAAAUAGUCUGUCAGACAACCUCUGAGCCACCCUAACCAGGACAGGCCUAGCAGGAACGAUCCUCCACAGCCGUCAGAUGGCACCUUCCGGAGCAUCCUAGCCGUCAAUCACGCUCUGGCCCAGAGGUUCUGGAUCAUCAACCAGACUUAGUGCUUGCCUCCUUGUUGGUAAAGGAUGCAGUGGUACGAUCCUAUAGAACAGAUCCUGUUCAAG
rnacentral:lncRNA from 1 species